UUCAUCCAAGACUAGGCUUGACCAGCGGGUGGGAAGCGACUAGAGAAUAUGACGUCUUUACUCAACUAUUUGUAGAUGUCAAGGAAUUUGUAUAGUAAAUAUAUUAGCUUUUGUGAUCCACUUCUGGUUUAUGCCUGCUUUAUCAUGCCUUGUGUGACUAUAGGCCUCUGGUCUAUAGGCGCGCGGCGGCUGUCUCGCCUAGGCCCGGUCUCGGGGCGUGACUUGCUUCCUCCGUUUUUUUAGAUGCGAACGAGGUAACUUAAGUAUGUUCAACUUAAGUAUGUUCAGAAGAUGUCUUCAUCCAAGACUAGGCUUGACCAGCGGGUGGGAAGCGACUAGAGAAUAUGAUGUCUUUACUCAACUAUUUGUAGAUGUCAAGGAAUUUGUAUAGUAAAUAUAUUAGCUUUUGUGAUCCACUUCUGGUUUAUGCCUUCUUUAUCAUGCCUUGCGUGACUAUAGUCCUCCUUGUCUAUAGGCGCGCGGCGGCUGUCUCGCCUAGGCCCGGUCUCGGGGCGUGACAGUUAAGGCGUGAUUAAUUAAGCAUUAACCAUCAGUGGAUCACAAAAGCUCAUAUAUAUUGACGACAGAAAUUUCUUUACAUAUACAAAUAGACAAAAUACAUUAAAAUCUCUAGUCGUUUCCCACCCACUGGUCGAGCCUAUUCUUGGAUGACAUCUUCUGGGCAUACUUAAGUUACACCGACUGCAUCUAAGAAAUAGAGAAGACAAGGGUGAGUACGAUAAAUCAUACUCAGCAAGCAAAUACUUCACUAUUCAAUAAGGAGCAAUGGUAUGAUGGUGUAGAUCAACAGACGAACUGAAUUCAGAGGAUAACAAUGUAACAACCAUUGGAAUCAUAUUUUGAUGUAAAUGGACAAAAGAACAAAAUACCAGAUUUAGUAAAAACAACAAGGAAUCUAUUGGCGUCACACAUGACCGCAAGCUUCCCAACCCGGGAGUCACAGGGUGAAAUUUCACACUUUUACGCUCUUAAGAGGGGUACUCCGACGUCGACAGCCUCGACUAGAACCACACAGGUUCCAGAAGAGCAGAGCUCUUUUACCCACUAAGUCCCGGACACCUGUACCUACUUAUGUCGGUCGCUCCUACGGAUCCAUCACCGACACGUUCCCGAACAAGAUCCGACCUUAACGGAGAGCCCAGACAGUCCCAUACCUAAACUGUGACCGGUACAAUACGUUUGCAGUCGUGACACCAAUAUAGAUGGAUGUGUGUUUGAAUCAACAUUAGGACCACUGAAGUAUCGGUCAAAGACAAUACACUCAUGGCUUUUCAUGAGUUCCUCCAAAAUACUCUGAUUCCAUCAACAAAUGGAUUAUGAGGAAAACACAUCCCUCUUUCAAGGAUCAAUAGAGGAUCAACAAAGAUCAAGGUGCAAUGAUAUUACCAGAUAAUCAAGCAAGACAACAAUAAGGAGAGAUCAGGGAGUUUAGCAAAGCAGCUACUUGCCUCAGAUAAUAUGAUUUCUCCUUUAGAAUAAUACUCUGCAAGAAGAUGAAACUCCAUCAUCUUUGUAUAAAAUCUGACGACCGCGCAUAUACUAAUAUUCUUCUGACGUAUGGCUUUGUUCUUCCCUCCAUCAGCAUCUACACGAUCUAUAUAUCUUCAAACAUGGACGCAUGCAUACUUGUAUUCUUCAUCUCUCUUCUCUUCGCUCUCUCCGCUGGUAUGCUCUAUUUCUCUCAUGCUCUCUCCUAGUAUCUUCUCUUCGCUCUAUUUCUCUCAUGCUCUCACUCUUGGUGAUGAGGAUGUGCAAAACGAGUAGCAGUAGCUAUUUAUAGAUGGUGAGCCCAGAGUGAACUCAGCCGAGCUGUUCUUGAAGCACACAAUCAUCUAGACUCUACCUAUUACGUGGCAUGCAUGCCUUGGUCUACGUGGAGAACCUGGUAAAAGAUCUAAGCCGCAAUGGCCUUUGACCCUUGCCCCUUGACCCUUCGAACUGCUGCCCCUUUUGCUUGUGCAAAAGCCAAACAAACCUGACCACUAUACAAAAGCUCCACGUAGCAAUUUCUUUGUCCUAAAUAUCUAAGGAUGCUGCCAGCACAACCUAGCUUCAUCUAGUACCAGGCCACGUUGGCCCUCUCAUGCAGAGGAUUUUACUUAGCUUGUAAGGAUAGUACAUACGUGUGCAUUUUCAUCAUUACAUGCAUGCACAUCUUCUAGUAUUUGGCCAUCUUCUCAUUACUAGCUAUCCUGUACUAGCCACUAAUUUGUAUUAAUUUGCAUACUAAUGCCAUAACGUGAGUGCAUGGAUGCUAGUCUACGUGCACAUAUACAUAUUUACUUAGUGUGUAAUUAUAUCCAUCUAAUAUUUUAUGCAUGCAAAAAUUACAGCUCUAUUUUAAUUCUUUAAAACAGGAAUCUAGCAUAACUUAUUUGCCCAAUUAUUUUAUGUUAAACAGAUAACAGAAAUUUAAUACCCAACUUAAUUUAAAUUAAUAACCCAAAAAUAUGGGUUAUUACAUCUGCCACUUUAACUGUCACGCCCCGAGACCGGGCCUAGGCGAGACAGCCGCCGCGCGCCUAUAGACCAGGAGGACUAUAGUCACGCAAGGCGUGAUUAAUUAAGCAUUAACCAUCAGUGGAUCACAAAAGCUCAUAUAUAUUGACUACAUAAAUUUCUUUACAUAUACAAAUAGACAAAAUACAUUAAAAUCUCUAGUCGUUUCCCACCCACUGGUCCAGCCUAUUCUUGGAUGACAUCUUCUGGGCAUACUUAAGUUACACCGACUGCAUCUAAGAAAUAGAGGAGACAAGGGUGAGUACGAUAAAUCAUACUCAGCAAGCAAAUACUUCACUAUUCAAUAAGGAGCAAUGGUAUGAUGGUGUAGAUCAACAGACGAACUGAAUUCAGAGGAUAACAAUGUAACAACCAUUGGAAUCAUAUUUUGAUGUAAAUGGACAAAAGAACAAAAUACCAGAUUUAGUAAAAACAACAAGGAAUCUAUUGGCGUCACACAUGACCGCAAGCUUCCCAAUCCGGGAGUCACAGAGGUGAAAUUUCACACUUUUACGCUCUUAAGAGGGGUACUCCGACGUCGACAGCCUCGACUAGAACCACACAGGUUCCAGAAGAGCAGAGCUCUUUUACCCACUAAGUCCCGGACACCUGUACCUACUUAUGUCGGUCGCUCCUACGGAUCCAUCACCGACACGUUCCCGAACAAGAUCCGACCUUAACGGAGAGCCCAGACAGUCCCAUACCUAAACUGUGACCGGUACAAUACGUUUGCCGUCGUGACACCAAUAUAGAUGGAUGUGUGUUUGAAUCAACAUUAGGACCACUGAAGUAUCGGUCAAAGACAAUACACUCAUGGCUUUUCAUGAGUUCCUCCACAAUACUCUGAUUCCAUCAACAAAUGGAUUAUGAGAAAAACACAUACCUCUUUCAAGGAUCAAUAGAGGAUCAACAAAGAUCAAGGUGCAAUGAUAUUACCAGAUAAUCAAGCAAGACAACAAUAAGGAGAGAUCAGGGAGUUUAGCAAAGCAGCUACUUGCCUCAGAUAAUAUGAUUUCUCGUUUAGAAUAAUAUUCUGCAAGAAGAUGAAACUCCAUCAUCUUUGUAUAAAAUCUGACAAACGCGCAUAUACUAAUAUUCUUCUGACGUAUGGCUUCGUUCUUCCCUCCAUCAGCAUUUACACGAUCUAUAUAUCUUCAAACAUGGACGCAUGCAUACUUGUAUUCUUCAUCUCUCUUCUCUUCGCUCUCUCCGCUGGUAUGCUCUAUUUCUCUCAUGCUCUCUCCUAGUAUCUUCUCUUCGCUCUAUUUCUCUCAUGCUCUCACUCUUGGUGAUGAGGAUGUGCAAAACGAGUAGCAGCAGCUAUUUAUAGAUGGUGAGCCCAGAGUGAACUCAGCCGAGCUAUUCUUGAAGCACACGAUCAUCUAGACUCUACCUAUUACGUGGCAUGCAUGCCUUGGUCUACGUGGAGAACCUGGUAAAAGAUCUAAGCCGCAAUGGCCUUUGACCCUUGCCCCUUGACCCUUCGAACUGCUGCCCCUUUUGCUUGUGCAAAAGCCAAACAAACCUGACCACUAUACAAAACCUCCACGUAGCAAUUUCUUUGUCCUAAAUAUCGAAGGAUGCUGCCAGCACAACCUAGCUUCAUCUAGUACCAGGCCACGUUGGCCUCAUGCAGAGGAUUUUACUUAGCUUGUAAGGAUAGUACAUACGUGUGCAUUCUCAUCAUUACAUGCAUGCACAUCUUCUAGUAUUUGGCCAUCUUCUCAUUACUAGCUAUCCUGUACUAGCCACAAAUUUGUAUUAAUUUGCAUACUAAUGCCAUAACGUAGUGCAUGGAUGCUAGUCUACGUGCACAUAUACAUAUUUACUUAGUGUGUAAUUAUAUCCAUCUAAUAUUUUAUGCAUGCAAAAAUUACAGCUCUAUUUUAAUUCUUUAAAACAGGAAUCUAGUAUAACUUAUUUGCCCAAUUAUUUUAUGUUAAACAGAUAACAGAAAUUUAAUACCCAACUUAAUUUGAAUUAAUAACCCAAAGAUAUGGGUUAGUACAUCUGCCACUUUAACUGUCACGCCCCGAGACCGGGCCUAGGCGAGACAGCCGCCACGCGCCUAUAGACCAGGAGGACUAUAGUCACGCAAGGCGUGAUUAAUUAAGCAUUAACCAUCAGUGGAUCACAAAAGCUCAUAUAUAUUGACUACAGAAAUUUCUUUACAUAUACAAAUAGACAAAAUACAUUAAAAUCUCUAGUGGUUUUCCACCCACUGGUCCAGCCUAUUCUUGGAUGACAUCUUCUGGGCAUACUUAAGUUACACCGACUGCAUCUAAGAAACAGAGGAGACAAGGGUGAGUACGAUAAAUCAUACUCAGCAAGCAAAUACUUCACUAUUCAAUAAGGAGCAAUGGUAUGAUGGUGUAGAUCAACAGACGAAAUGAACAAGGAAAUUAUUGGCAUCACACAUGACCGCAAGCUUCCCAACCCGGGAGUCACAGGGGUGAAAGUUCACACUUUUACGCUCUUAAGAGGGGUACUCCGACGUCGACAGUCUCGACUAGAACCACACAGGUUCCAGAAGAGCAGAGCUCUUGUACCCACUAAGACCCGAACACCUGUACCUACUGAUGUCGAUCGCUCCUACGGAUCCAUCACCGACACGUUCCUGAACAAGGUCCGUCCUUAGCGGAGAACUCAGACAGUCCCAUACCUGAACUGUGACCGGUACAAUAUGUUUACCGUCGUGACACCAAUACAAAAUAGGAUAUGUGUUUGAAUCAACGGUAGAAUCACUGUAAUAUCAGUCAAAGACUAUACGCGUAUGACUUCUCACGAGUUCCUCCAAAAUACUCUGAUUCCAUCAACAAAUGGAAUACGAGGACAACACAUCCCUCUCUCAAGGAUCAAGAGAGGAUCAAUAAGGAUCAAGGUGCAACAAUAUUAACCGAUAAUCAAAGAAGACAACAAGCGAGAUCGGGGAGUUAGGGAAAGCAGCUACUUGCCUCAGGUAAUAUGAUUUCUCCUUUAGAAUAAUAUUUUGCAAGAAGAUGAAACUCCAUCAUCUUUAUAUAAAAUCUGACGAACACACAUAUACUCAUAUUUCUUCUGAUGUAUGGCUCGGCUCUUCCCUCCAGCAGCACCUAAACGCUCUAUUCUUCUUCAAAUGUGGAUGCAUGCAUGAAUUCUUCAUCUCUCUUCUUUAUCUUUCUGGUGUCUUUCUUUCUCUCAGGCUCUCUCCUCCAGUGUUUAUGUCUUUCUCUCAGAGCUGUGCUUUGAGCAGCGUGGCCCACAGCUAUUUAUAGGAGGCAAGCGCCCGUGCAAGUCUAAAAUAUCUUGGCCUGGCUCUCACUUAAGCACUAAGAAAUGGCCACGUAUAGGACACGUAAAAGCUGACUUCUAUUUUCUAUUUCUACGUUCCUCUAGUACUUGGCCACGUUGCAGCCCACGUAGGAAACUUGGGUUUCUAGCGAUGCAGCCGAUGCAUGCAUCUACCCACGUUUGCUGCCAUUCCUCUCCUGUACAUGUAGUUGAUUCACUAGAGUUUUCAAAACACCUGACACAUGCAUGCAUAUCCUCUAGAACCAAGCCACGUUGCCUCUUCCUCAUGAUUACAUACAUGCACCUAUUUGACUUGGAGCUCUAGUACUAGGAAAUAUGUACCGGUGUAUCAUUUGUACCUGGUCUAAUUUCAUCUGUUCAAAUGCCACGUUAACUCUCUUGUAAUUUUCUAGCUUAUAUGGCCAACUAGGUAGUAGUACUUCCCAUGCCUAUAUCACAACGUGAGUGCAUGAAUGCAAGUCUAUGCGCACAUACACCUACUCUUACAUAGUGUGUAAUUUUCUAAUAUUUAAUGCAUGCAAAAAUUUACAGCUCUAUCUUAAUUCUUUGAAUCAAGAAUUUAGCAUAACUUAGCAGAUAAUACAAAUUUAAUUACUUAUCUUAAUUUAAGUCAAUAACCCAAAAAUAUGGGUUAUUACAUCCUUCCCACCUUAUAAGAAUUUCGUCCCCGAAAUUAACACUAACAUCUAUGCUUUUUUUUAGUGAUCAAAUUCCCUCCCAUCAUAUUUGGAACAGUUUAUUUGAUGCAUGCUCAAUAAUUAAUUAUAAAAUAAUGCAAAAAAGAUUUGCAAUCUUUCUACAAUUCAUGGAUAUAUCUGCUAUAACAUAAGUUGGCAACACUAAACAUUUUAUUUGGUAAAUUCAUUAACAAAAAGGAUAGAUAGUGGUAUAGCAAUUGUCCCAUUACUAGAACAUUAUUACCGAUUGUCUUAAACAAGAAAAUCUACACAAAUAUUAAGUCAUGUAUUAAUCUAACAAGAUGUCUAUUUAUUUCCCAUGCAUCCUCAAAUUUCAUCAAUAAUGUGUACACUAUAUUUUUUAUUUGCCUGGAUAUCUGUUGAAACUAUUCAUGAGUACCAACACACAAACUAGUUGAGACAAGAUAUGAAAAUAAAAUCUUCAUAGCUGUCACACAACACAAAUAUAUAGUGACAAAAUUUAUUGCCAUGAACCAUUUUAGUUUAUAUGGUUCCUCAAGAGUCUAAUAAUGGUGUGAGCACUUCUUUUUUUCUACCAAUUGAUAAAAACAUCAUAUAAACUAAGUAAAUCGCCGAAUUUAGCUGCGAUUUAGGUUGCGUGCAUCCACAUAUCGCUUAUAUGGGUUAUCACCUAAAACCUAUUUAUAGAGCUCUAGAGCAUGAAAUAGGUUUUAGGUUGCGUUGGGAUAAAUGGGUAGAUCGCCGAGAUCGGGGAGUUAGGCAAAGCAGCUACUUGCCUCAGAUAAUAUGAUUUCUCCUUUAGAAUAAUAUUUGCAAGAAGAUGAAACUCUAUCAUCUUUGUAUAAAAUCUGACGAACACACAUAUACUCAUGUUUCUUCUGAUGUAUGGCUUGGCUCUUCCCUCCAGCAGCACCUAAACGCUCUAUUCUUCUUCAAAUGUGGAUGCAUGCAUGAAUUCUUCAUCUCUCUUCUUUAUCUUUCUGGUGUCUUUCUUUCUCUCAGGCUCUCUCCUCUAGUGUUUAUGUCUUUCUCUCAGAGUUGUGCUUUGAGCAGCGUGACCCACAACUAUUUAUAGGAGGCGAGCGCCCGUGCAAGUCUAAAAUAUCUUGGCAUGGCUCUUACUUAAGCACUAAGAAAUGGCCACGUAUAGGACACGUAAAAGCUGACUUCUAUUUUCUAUUUCUACGUUCCUCUAGUACUUGGCCACGUUGCAGCCCAGUAGGAAACUUGGGUUUCUAGAGUUAUUAGCAUAUUUUUUUUAGAGCUGUAGAGCAUGAACAGUGAGACAAACAAGGAAUAAUGAUACAUCUCUAUGCGGCUGUAGCUCCGAACUGUAUUUUAUAAUUAAUUAUUGAGCAUGCAUCAAAUAAACUGUUCCAAAUAUGAUGGGAGGGAAUUUGAUCACUAAAAAAAUAGCAUAGAUGUUAGUGUUGAAUUUUGGGGACGAAAUUCUUAUAAGGUGGGAAGGAUGUAAUAACCCAUAUUUUUGGGUUAUUGAUUUAAAUUAAGAUAAGUAAAUUUUUAUUAUUUUGUUAACAUAAAUAAUUGAGCGAAGAAGACAUGCUAGAUUAUUCUUGCAAGUAAUUAAAUAGAACUGUAAUUUUUGCAUGCGUAAAAUAUUAGAUGGAAAUGGACCAGGUACAAAUGAUAGAUUGGUAGAUAUUUCCGAGUACUAAAAUUCCAAGUCAACUAGGUGCAUGCAUGUCAUGAUGAGAAUGCACACGUAUGUAUUGUUCUUGCUAGCUAAGUAAAAAUCUAUGUGUACGUGGAGGUUGGCGUGGCAUGCAUGUAGUCUCUUGGACAGUCUAGUCCUAUACGUGGGCUCUUCCUAUGGUGCCAGGUUUAAUUAGGCCUUUGCACUAGCCGUAGGUGCAGCAGCCAAAUCAUUUUUUACCUAGCUUCAAGGGCCAAGGGUCAAGCGGCAAGAGUCACUGCGGCUGAGAUAUUUUAGCUAGUGACCGACUGUCAGCUCCUAUAAAUAGAACGCUCCUGCUGCUGCUCAAAGCACGACUCCGAGAGAGAAUUAGAUACUAGAGGGGUGAGUAUGAGAGAGAAAGAGGGUAAGAGAGAUGAAGAAUUCAUGCAUGCGCAUACAUGUUUGAAGUGAUAUGGAGAGAGGUGUCGAGCCAUCUGUCUAAAGAAGAAUAUUAGCAUAUGUAUGGUUCAUCAGAUUUUUAUACGAUGGAUUAUUACUUGCUGGCCGAAUAUUAUUCUAGAGUAGAAGUCUUAUUUUCUGAGGCAAGUAGCUACUUUACUAACUCUGAAAUCCGUUAUCUUCCUUUGAUUAUCUAAUUGUAUUGUUGCACCCUGAUCUUUAUUGAUCUCUGCUGAUCCUUGUUUCAAUUGAGAGAGGGACAUGUUACCCUCGUAAUCCAUUUGUUAAUGGAACCAGUGUGUUUUGAGAGGAACUCAUGUAAAGCCAUGAGCGUAUUGAUAUUCCAGUGAUCCUAUCGAUGAUUCAAACACAUAUCCUAUUUUGUAUUGGUGUCACGACGGCAAACGUAAUGUACCGGUCACAGUUCAGGUAUGGGACUGUCUGGGUUCUUCACUAAGGACGGACCUUGUUCGGGAACGUGUCGGUGAUGGAUCCGUAGGAGCGACCGACAUCAGUAGGUCCAGGUGUUUGGGUCUUAGUGGGUACAAGAGCUCUGCUCUUCUGAAACCUGUGUGUUUCUAGUCGAGACUGUCGAUGUCGGAGUACCCCUCUUAAGAGCGUAAAAGUGUGAAAUUUCACCCCUGUGACUCCCGGGUUGGGAAGCUUGCGGUCACGUGUGACGCCAAUACCUCCCUUGUUCGUCUUUGAUUAUACUAUUUAUUUUACACAUCUCCAGCAAAAUAUGUUCCAGUGAUUGUUACCUUGUUUAUCCUUUGGAUUCAGUUUGUUUGUUGAUCUACAUCAUUUUACCAUUGCUUUUGUUGAAUAAUGAAGUAUCUGCUUGCUGAGUAUGAUUUAUCGUACUCACCCUUGUCUCCUCCGUCUUUUUAGAUGCAGCCGAUGUAACUUAAGUAUGCCCAGAAGAUGUCAUCCAAGAUUAAGCUGGACCAGUGGGUAGGAAGCGACUAGAGAAUUUAAUGUAGUUUGCCUAUUUGUAAAUGUAAAGAAAUUUGUAAACCAAAUAUAUGAGAUUUUGUGAUCCACUUAGUCACGCAAGGCAUGAUAAAGCAGGCAUAAACCAGCAGUGGAUCACAAAAGCUAAUAUAUUUACUAUACAAAUUCCUUAACAUCUACAAAUAGUUGAGUAAAGACAUCAUAUUCUCUAGUCGCUUCCCACCCGCUGGUCAAGCCUAGUCUUGGAUGAAGACAUCUUCUGAACAUACUUAAGUUGAACAUACUUAAGUUACCUCGUUCGCAUCUAAAAAAAAGAGGAAGCAAGGGUGAGUACGACAAAUCAUACUCAGAAAGCAGAUACUUCACUAUUCAACAAGGAGCGAUGGUAUGAUGGUGUAGAUCAACAGACGAAAUGAACAAGGAAAUUAUUGGCAUCACACAUGACCGCAAGUUUCCCAACCCGGGAGUCACAGGGGUGAAAUUUCACACUUUUACGCUCUUAAGAGGGGUACUCCGACGUCGACAUUCUCGACUAGAACCACACAGGUUCCAGAAGAGCAGAGCUCUUGUACCCACUAAGACCCGAACACCUGGACCUAAUGAUGUCGAUCGCUCCUACGGAUCCAUCACCGACACGUUCCUGAACAAGGUCCGUCCUUAGCGGAGAACUCAGACAGUCCCAUACCUGAACUGUGACCGGUACAAUAUGUUUGCCGUCGUGACACCAAUACAAAAUAGGAUAUGUGUUUGAAUCAACGGUAGAAUCACUGUAAUAUCAGUCAAAGACAAUACGCGUAUGACUUCUCACGAGUUCCUCCAAAAUACUCUGAUUCCAUCAACAAAUGGAAUACGAGGACAACACAUCCCUCACUCAAGGAUCAAGAGAGGAUCAAUAAGGAUCAAGGUGCAACAAUAUUAACCGAUAAUCAAAGAAGACAACAAUAAAGUGAGGUCGGGGAGUUAGGCAAAGCAGCUACUUGCCUCAGAUAAUAUGAUUUCUCCUUUAGAAUAAUAUUUUGCAAGAAGAUGAAACUCCAUCAUCUUUGUAUAAAAUCUGACGAACACACAUAUACUCAUAUUUCUUCUGAUGUAUGGCUUGGCUCUUCCCUCCAGCAGCACCUAAACGCUCUAUUCUUCUUCAAAUGUGGAUGCAUGCAUGAAUUCUUCAUCUCUCUUCUUUAUCUUUCUGGUGUCUUUCUUUCUCUCAGGCUCUCUCCACCAGUGUUUAUGUCUUUCUCUCAGAGUUGUGCUUUGAGCAGCGUGACCCACAGCUAUUUAUAGGAGGCGAGCGCCCGUGCAAGUCUAAAAUAUCUUGGCCUGGCUCUUACUUAAGCACUAAGAAAUGGCCACGUAUAGGACACGUAAAAGCUGACUUCUAUUUUCUAUUUCUACGUUCCUCUAGUACUUGGCCACGUUGCAGCCCACGUAGGAAACAUGGGUUUCUAGCGAUGCAGCCGAUGCAUGCAUUUACUCACGUUUGCUUCCUUUCCUCUCCUGUACGUGUAGUUGAUUCACUACAGUUUUCAAAACAUCUGACACAUGCAUGCAUAUCCUCUAGAACCAAGCCACGUUGCCUCUUCCUCAUGAUUACAUACAUGCACCUAUUUGACUUGGAGCUCUAGUACUAGGAAAUAUCUACCGGUGUAUCAUUUGUACAUGGUCUAAUUUCAUCUGUUCAAAUGCCACGUUAACUCUCUUGUAAUUUUCUAGCUUAUAUGGCCAACUAGCUAGUAGUAUUUUCCAUGCCUAUAUCACAACGUGAGUACAUGAAUGCAAGUCUAUGCGCACAUACACCUAAUCUUACUUAGUGUGUAGUUUUCUAAUAUUUAAUGCAUGCAAAAAUUUACAGCUCUAUCUUAAUUCUUUGAAUCAAGAAUUUAGCAUAACUUAGCAGAUAAUACAAAUUUAAUUACUUAUCUUAAUUUAAGUCAAUAACCCAAAAAUAUGGGUUAUUACAUCCUUCCCACCUUAUAAGAAUUUCGUCCCCGAAAUUCAACACUAACAUCUAUGUUUUUUUUAGUGAUCAAAUUCCCUCCCAUCAUAUUUGGAACAGUUUAUUUGAUGCAUGCUCAAUAAUUAAUUAAAAAUAAUGCAAAAAAGGAUUUGCAAUCUUUCUACAGUUCAUGGAUAUAUCUGCUAUAACAUAAGUUGGCAACACUAAACAUUUUAUUUGGUAAAUUCAUUAACAAAAAGGAUAGAUAGUGGUAUAGCAAUUGUCCCAUUACUAGAACAAUAUCACCGGUUGUCUUAAACAAGAAAAUCUACACUAAUAACAAGUCAUGUAUUAAUCUAACAAGAUGUCUAUUUAUUUCCCAUUCAUCCUCAAAUUUCACCAAUAAUAUGUACGCUAUAUUAUUUAUUUGCAUGGAUAUCUGUCGACAAUAUUCGUGAGUAACAACACACAAACUAGUUGAGACAAGAUAUGGAAAUAAAAUUUUCAUACCUGUCACACAACACAAAUAUAUUCGGCGAUCUACCCGUUUAUCCCAACGCAACCUAAAACCUAGAGAUAUUUUAGAUCGCUAUAUUAGCUCUAGAGCAUAUAUAAUAUUUUUGAACUGGAGGAGAGAGCCCGAGAGAAAGAAAGACACCAGAAAGAUAAAGAAGAGAGAUGAAGAAUUCAUGCAUGCAUCCACAUUUGAAGAAGAAUAGAGCGUUUAGGUGCUGCUGGAGGGAAGAGUCGAGCCAUACAUCAGAAGAAAUAUGAGUAUAUGUGUGUUCGUCAGAUUUUAUACAAAGAUGAUGGAGUUUCAUCUUCUUGCAAAAUAUUAUUCUAAAGGAGAAAUCAUAUUAUCUGAGGCAAGUAGCUGCUUUGCCUAACUCCCCGAUCUCGCUUUAUUGUUGUCUUCUUUGAUUAUCGGUUAAUAUUGUUGCACCUUGAUCCUUAUUGAUCCUCUCUUGAUCCUUGAGAGAGGGAUGUGUUGUCCUCGUAUUCCAUUUGUUGAUGGAAUCAGAGUAUUUUGGAGGAACUCAUGAGAAGUCAUACGCGUAUUGUCUUUGACUGAUAUUAAAGUGAUUCUACCGUUGAUUCAAACACAUAUCCUAUUUUGUAUUGGUGUCACGACGGCAAACACCGACACGUUCCCAAACAAGGUUCGUCCUUAGCGGAGAACUCAGACAGUCCCAUACCUGAACUGUGACUGGUACAAUACGUUUGCCGUCAUGACACCAAUAUAGAUGGAUGUGUGUUUGAAUCAACGAUAGGACCAUUGAAGUAUCAGUCAAAGACAAUACACUCAUGACUUUUCAUGAGUUCCUCCAAAAUACUCUGAUUCCAUCAACAAAUAGAUUAUGAGGAAAACACAUCCCUCUUUCAAGGAUCAACAGAGGAUCAACAAAGAUCCAGGUGCAAUGAUAUUAGCAGAUAAUCAAGAAGGACAACAAUAAGGAGAGAUCAGGGAGUUUAGCAAAGCAGCUACUUGCCUCAGAUAAUAUGAUUUCUCCUUUAGAAUAAUAUUCUGCAAGAAGAUGAAGCUCCAUCAUCUUUGUAUAAAAUCUGACGAACGCGCAUAUACUAAUAAUCUUCUGACGUAUGGCUCUAGGUAUGUUAGUAACAAUAACAUAUGAGAACGUAUUUUGAACAAAGACCCACCUUGCUCUUCUGAUAAGCCUAUUUUUGAACUGGUUUGUGUGUGUCAGGUAUUUAUACCGAUGUAUCAAUAUUUUAGAUCCGUUCCAUCUAGCCUUUCUAGCUGUCCUAUUCCUUGUUUGUCUCACUGUUCAUGCCAUGCUCUAUAGCUAGUAGUACUUCUGAAGCUCUAUAAUGUGCACUGUUCAUUUGAUUCCUGUACAUCUCUUGAAGCUAGCAUGCAUACCACAGUACUACCUUUUGGUUUAUGAUCACGGUGGAGAAAUCCUUGGGACAUGCAUGUGAGCACAUGGAUUAAUGGCUCAUGCAUGGAUGGUUGGUUCUGUGAAAAGCCUAGUGAUAUUUAUUUUGGUCUUGCAUGUACUUCCUCUUGCUAAUCCUUGUCUAGUAAAUUUUAUAAAAUCUGGUAUCACGACGGGAAACGUAUUGUACCGGUCACAGUUCAGGUAUGGGACUGUCUGAGUUCUCUGCUAAAAACGCCACACGUUCGGAAGCGUGUCGAUGAUGGAUCCGUAGGAGCGAUCGACACUAGUAAGUCGAGUGGGCGGUUCUUGGGGGAGAGACCGGGCCUAGGCGAGACAGCCGCCGCGAGCCUAUAGACCAGAGGCCUAUAGUCACACAAGGCAUGAUAAAGCAGGCAUAAACCAGAAGUGGAUCACAAAAGCUAAUAUAUUUACUAUACAAAUUCCUUGACAUCUACAAAUAGUUGAGUAAAGACAUCAUAUUCUCUAGUCGCUUCCCACCCGCUGGUCAAGCCUAGUCUUGGAUGAAGACAUCUUCUGAACAUACUUAAGUUGAACAUACUUAAGUUACCUCGUUCGCAUCUAAAAAAACAUAGGAAGCAAGGGUGAGUACGACAAAUCAUACUCAGCAAGCAGAUACUUCACUAUUCAACAAGGAGCGAUGGUAUGAUGGUGUAGAUCAACAGACGAAAUGAACAAGGAAAUUAUUGGCAUCACACAUGACCGCAAGCUUCCCAACCCGGGAGUCACAGGGGUGAAAUUUCACACUUUUACGCUCUUAAGAGGGGUACUCCGACGUCGACAGUCUCGACUAGAACCACACAGGUUCCAGAAGAGCAGAUAAAUAAGGAGAGCUCCGUGAGUGGUAUCAGAGCUCUAGCUUUUUAGGUUGCGCUGCGAUAAACGGGUAGAUCGUCGAUUAUAUUUGUGACUAAUUAUUGUUAGAGAAAUGAUCUUUUUAUCAAUUGGUAGAAAAAAAGAAGUGCUUACACCAUUAUUAGACUCUUGAGGAACCAUAUAAACUAAAAUGGUUCAUGGCAAUAAAUUUUGUCACUAUAUAUUUGUGUUGUUUGACAAGUAUAAAGAAUUUAGUUUCAUAUCUUGUCUCAACUAGUUUGUGUGUUGUUACUCACGAAUAUUUUCGACAAAUAUGCAGGAAAAUAAAAAUAUGGCGUACGUAUUAUUGGUGAAAUUUGAGAAUGCAUGGGAAAUAAAUACAUUUUGUUAGAUUAAUUCAUGACUUGUUAUUUGUGUAGAUUUUCAUGUUUAAGACAACAGGUGAUAUUUAUCUAGUAACGGGAGAAUUACUAUAUCACCAUCUAUCCUCUUUUGUUAAUAACCUUACCAAAUAAAAUGAUUAGUGUUGCCAACUUAUGUUAUAGCAGAUAUAUCCAUAAAUUGUAGAAAAUAUUGCAAUUUUGUUUCAUUAUUUAUAAUUAAUUUUUGAGCAUGAAUUCAAUAAACUGUCCCAAAUAUUAUCAGAGAAUAUUUGACCACUAAAAAAAAUAUAGUGUGUAUGUUAGUGUUGAAUUUCGGGGACGAAAUUCUUACAAGGUGGGAAGGAUGUAAUAACCCAUAUUUUUGGGUUAUUAAUUUAAAUUAAGUUGGGUAUUAAAUUUCUGUUAUCUGUUUAACAUAAAAUAAUUGGGCAAAUAAGUUAUGCUAGAUUCCUGUUUCAAAGAAUUAAAAUAGAGCUGUAAUUUUUGCAUGCAUAAAAUAUUAGAUGGAUAUAAUUACACACUAAGUAAAUAUGUAUAUGUGCACGUAAACUAGCAUCCAUGCACUCACGUUAUGGCGUUAGUAUGCAAAUUAAUACAAAUUAGUGGCUAGUACAGGCUAGCUAGUAAUGAGAAGAUGGCCAAAUACUAGAAGAUGUGCAUGCAUGUAAUGAUGAGAAUGCACACGUAUGUACUAUCCUUACAAGCUAAGUAAAAUCCUCUGCAUGAGAGGGCCAACGUGGCCUGGUACUAGAUGAAGCUAGGUUGUGUUGGCAGCACCCUUAGAUAUUUAGGACAAUUUCAGCACCCUUAGAUAUUUAGGACAAAGAAAUUGCUACGUGGAGGUUUUGUAUAGUGGUCAGGUUUGUUUGGCUUUUGCACAAGCAAAAGGGCCAGCAGUUCGAAGGGUCAAGGGGCAAGGGUGAAAGGCCAUUGCGGCUUAGAUCUUUUACCAGGUUCUCCACGUAGACCAAGGCAUGCAUGCCACGUAAUAGGUAGAGUCCAGAUGAUCGUGUGCUUCAAGAACAGCUCAGCUGAGUUCACUCUGGGCUCACCAUCUAUAAAUAGCUGCUGCUACUCGUUUUGCACAUCCUCAUCACCAAGAGUGAGAGCAUGAGAGAAAUAGAGCGAAGAGAAGAUACUAGGAGAGAGCAUGAGAGAAACAGAGCAUACCAGCGGAGAGAGCGAAGAGAAGAGAGAUGAAGAAUACAAGUAUGCAUGCGUCCAUGUUUGAGGAUAUAUAGAUCGUGUAGAUGCUGAUGGAGGGAAGAACAAAGCCAUACGUCAGAAGAAUAUUAGUAUAUGCGCGUUCGUCAGAUUUUAUACAAAGAUGAUGGAGUUUCAUCUUCUUGCAGAAUAUUAUUCUAAAGGAGAAAUCAUAUUAUCCGAGGCAAGUAGCUGCUUUGCUAAAUUUCCUGAUCUCUCCUUAUUGUUGUCUUGCUUGAUUAUCUGGUAAUAUCAUUGCACCUUGAUAUUUGUUGAUCCUCUGUUGAUCCUUGAAAGAGGGAUGUGUUUUCCUCAUAAUCCAUUUGUUGAUGGAAUCAGAGUAUUUUGGAGGAACUCAUGAAAAGCCAUGAGUGUAUUGUCUUUGACCGAUACUUCAGUGGUCCUAAUGUUGAUUCAAACACACAUCCAUCUAUAUUGGUGUCACGACGGCAAACUUAUUGUACCGGUCACGGUUCAGGUAUGGGACUGUCUGGGCUCUCCAUUAAGGUCGGAUCUUGUUCGGGAACGUGUCGGUGAUGGAUCCGUAGGAGCGACCGACAUAAGUAGGUACAGGUGUCCGGGUCUUAGUGGGUAAAAGAGCUCUGCUCUUCUGGAACCUGUGUGGUUCUAGUCGAGGCUGUCGACGUCGGAGUACCCCUCUUAAGAGCGUAAAAGUGUGAAAUUUCACCCCUGUGACUCCCGGGUUGGGAAGCUUGCGGUCAUGUGUGACGCCAAUAGAUUCCUUGCUAUUUUUACUAAAUCUGGUAUUUUGUUCUUUUGUCCAUUUACAUCAAAAUACGAUUCCAAUGGUUGUUACAUUGUUAUCCUUUGAAUUCAGUUCGUCUGUUGAUCUACACCAUCAUACCAUUGCUCCUUAUUGAGUAGUGAAGUAUUUGCUUGCUGAGUAUGAUUUAUCGUACUCACCCUUGUCUCCUCCGUCUUUUUAGAUGCAGCCGAUGUAACUUAAGUAUGCCCAGAAGAUGUCAUCCAAGAAUAGGCUGGACCAGUGGGUGGGAAACGACUAGAGAUUUUAAUGUAUUUUGUCUAUUUGUAUAUGUAAAGAAAUUUCUGUAGUCAAUAUAUAUGAGCUUUUGUGAUCCACUGAUGGUUAAUGCUUAAUUAAUCACGCCUUGCGUGACUAUAGUCCUCCUGGUCUAUAGGCGCGCGGCGGCUGUCUCGCCUAGGCCCGGUCUCGGGGCCAAUGCUCCUGCUGCUGCUCAGAGCACAACUCCGAGAGAGAAUUAGAUACGAGAGGGGAGAGCAUGAGAGAGAAAGAGGGUAAGAGAGAUGAAGAAUUCAUGCAUGCGCAUACAUGUUUGAAGUGCUAUGGAGAGAGGUGUCGAGGCAUUCGUCUAAAGAAGAAUAUUAGCAUAUGUAUGGUUCAUCAGAUUUUAUACGAUGGGGUAUUACUUGCUGGCCGAAUAUUAUUCUAGAGGAGAAGUCUUAUUUUCUGAGGCAAGUAGCUACUUUACUAACCCUCAAAUGCGUUAUGUUCCUUUGAUUAUCUGAUUGUAUUGUUGAACCUUGAUCUUUAUUGAUCCUCUCUUGAUCCUUGAGAGAGGGAUGUGUUGUCCUCGUAUUCCAUUUGUUGAUGGAAUCAGAGUAUUUUGGAGGUACUCGUGAGAAGUCAUACGCGUAUUGUCUUUGACUGAUAUUACAGUGAUUCUACCGUUGAUUCAAAAACAUAUCCUAUUUUGUAUUGGUGUCACAACGGCAAACGUAAUAUACCGGUCACAGUUCAGGUAUGGGACUGUCUGGGUUCUUCACUAAGGACGGACCUUGUUCGGGAACAUGUCGGUGAUGGAUCCGUAGGAGCGACCGACAUCAGUAGGUCCAGGUGUUUGGGUCUUAGUGGGUACAAGAGCUCUGCUCUUCUGGAACCUGUGUGGUUCUAGUCGAGACUGUCGACGUCGGAGUACCCCUCUUAAGAGCGUAAAAGUGUGAAAUUUCACCCCUGUGACUCCCGGGUUGGGAAGCUUGCGGUCACGUGUGAUGCCAAUACCUCCCUUGUUCGUCUUUGAUUAUACUAUUUAUUUUACACAUCUCCAGCAAAAUAUGUUCCAGUGAUUGUUACCUUGUUUAUCCUUUGGAUUCAGUUCGUUUGUUGAUCUACAACAUUUUACCAUUGCUUUUGUUGAAUAAUGAAGUAUCUGCUUGCUGAGUAUGAUUUAUCGUACUCACCCUUGUCUCCUCCGUCUUUUUAGAUGCAGCCGAUGUAACUUAAGUAUGCCCAGAAGAUGUCAUCCAAUAUUAGGUUGGACCAGUGGGUAGGAAGUGACUAGAGAAUUUAAUGUAGUUUGCCUAUUUGUAAAUGUAAAGAAAUUUGUAAACCAAAUAUAUGAGAUUUUGUGAUCCACUGCUGGUUUAUGCCUGCUUUAUCAUGCCUUGCGUGACAAUAGGCCUCUGGUCUAUAGGCGCGCGGCGGCUGUCUCGCCUAGGCCCGGUCUCGGGGCAUGACAGUUAAAGUGAUAUCAGAGCUCUAGGUUUUUAGGUUGCACUGGGAUAAAGGGGUAGAUCGUCGAAUAUAUUUGUGUUGUGUGACAGCUAUGAAGAUUUUAUUUUCAUAUCUUGUCUCAACUAGUUUGUGUGUUGGUACUCAUGAAUAGUUUCAACAGAUAUCCAGGCAAAUAAAAAGAAUAGUGUACACAUUAUUGAUGAAAUUUGAGGAUGCAUGGAAAUAAAUAGACAUCUUGUUAGAUUAAUACAUGACUUAAUAUUUGUGUAGAUUUUCUUGUUUAAGACAACCGGUAAUAAUGUUCUAGUAAUGGGACAAUUGCUAUACCACUAUCUAUCCUUUUUGUUAAUGAAUUUACCAAAUAAAAUGUUUAGUGUUGCCAACUUAUGUUAUAGCAGAUAUAUCCAUGAAUUGUAGAAAGAUUGCAAAUCUUUUUUGCAUUAUUUUUAAUUAAUUAUUGAGCAUGCAUCAAAUAAACUGUUCCAAAUAUGAUGGGAUGGAAUUUGAUCACUAAAAAAACAUAGAUGUUAGUGUUGAAUUUCGGGGACGAAAUUCUUAUAAGGUGGGAAGGAUGUAAUAACCCAUAUUUUUGGGUUAUUGAUUUAAGUUAAGAUAAGUAAAUUUUUAUUAUUUUGUUAACAUAAAUAAUUGAGCGAAGAAGACAUGCUAGAUUAUUGUUGCAAGUAAUUAAAUAGAACUGUAAUUUUUGCAUGCGUAAAAUAUUAGAUGGAAAUGGACCAGGUACAAAUGAUAGAUUGGUAGAUAUUUCCAAGUACUAGAAUUCCAAGUCAACUAGGUGCAUGCAUGUCAUGAUGAGAAUGCACACGUAUGUACUGUUCUUGCUAGCUAAGUAAAAAAUCUAUGUGUACGUGGAGGUUGGCGUGGCAUGCAUGUAGUCUCUUGGACAUUCUAGUCCUAUACGUGGGCUCUUCCUAUGGUGCCAGGUUUGAUUAGGCCUUUGCACUAGAUGUAGGGGCAGCAGCCAAAUCAUUUUUUACCUAGCUUCAAGGGCCAAGGGUCAAGCGGCAAGAGUCACUGCGGCUGAGAUAUUUUAGCUAGUGACCGACUGUCAGCUCCUAUAAAUAGAACGCUCCUGCUGCUGCUCAAAGCACAACUCCGAGAGAGAAUUAGAUACUAGAGGGGAGAGUAUGAGAGAGAAAGAGGGUAAGAGAGAUAAAGAAUGCAUGCAUGCGCAUACAUGUUUGAAGUGCUAUGGAGAGAGGUGUCGAGCCAUCUGUCUAAAAAAGAAUAUUAGCAUAUGUAUGGUUCAUCAGAUUUUUAUACGACGGGGUAUUACUUGCUGGCCGAAUAUUAUUCUAGAGGAGAAGUCUUAUUUUCUGAGGCAAGUAGCUACUUUACUAACUCUCAAAUCCGUUAUCUUCCUUUGAUUAUCUGAUUGUAUUGUUGCACCUUGAUCCUUAUUGAUCCUCUCUUGAUCCUUGAGAGAGGGAUGUGUUGUCCUCGUAUUCCAUUUGUUGAUGGAAUCAGAGUAUUUUGGAGGAACUCGUGAGAAGUCAUACGCGUAUUGUCUUUGAUUGAUAUUACUGUGAUUCUACUGUUGAUUCAAACACAUAUCCUAUUUUGUAUUGGUGUCACGACGGCAAACAUAUUGUACCGAUCACAUUUCAGUUAUGGGACUGUCUGAGUUCUCCGCUAAGGACGGACCUUGUUCAGGAACGUGUCGAUGAUGGAUCCGUAGGAGCGAUCGACAUCAGUAGGUCCAGGUGUUCGGGUCUUAGUGGGUACAAGAGCUCUGCUCUUCUGGAACCUGUGUGGUUCUAGUCGAGACUGUCGACGUCGGAGUACCCCUCUUAAGAGCGUAAAAGUGUGAAAUUUCACCCCUGUGACUCCCGGGUUGGAAAGCUUGCGGUCAUGUUUGAUGCCAAUAAUUUCCUUGUUCAUUUCGUCUGUUGAUCUACACCAUCAUACCAUCGCUCCUUGUUGAAUAGUGAAGUAUCUGCUUGCUGAGUAUGAUUUGUCGUACUCACCCUUGCUUCCUUAUUUUUUUUAGAUGCGAACGAUGUAACUUAAGUAUGUUCAGAAGAUGUCUUCAUCCAAGACUAGGCUUGACCAGCGGGUGGGAAGCGACUAGAGAAUAUGAUGUCUUUACUCAACUAUUUGUAGAUGUCAAGGAAUUUGUAUAGCAAAUAUAUUAGCUUUUGUGAUCCACUUCUGGUCUAUGCCUGCUUUAUCAUGCCUUGCGUGACUAUAGGCCUCUGGUCUAUAGGCUCGCGGCGGCUGUCUCGCCUAGGCCCGGUCUCGGGGCAUGACAAUUAAAGUGCAUAUUUUGUAGAACGUAAUGUAUCGGUCAAAGUUCAGGUAUGGGACUGUCUGAGUUCUCCGCUAAGGACGGACCUUGUUCAGGAACGUGUCGGUGAUGGAUCCGUAGGAGCGAUCGACAUCAGUAGGUCCAGGUGCAACAAUAAAAUCAGAUAAUCAAAGGAAGAUAACGGAUUUGAGAGUUAGUAAAGUAGCUACUUGCCUCAGAAAAUAAGACUUCUCCUCUAGAAUAAUAUUCGGCCAGCAAGUAAUACCCCAUCGUAUAAAAAUCUGAUGAACCAUACAUAUGCUAAUAUUCUUCUUUAGACAGAUGGCUCGACACCUCUCUCCAUAGCACUUCAAACAUAUAUGCGCAUGCAUGAAUUCUUCAUCUCUCUUACCCUCUUUCUCUCUCAUACUCUCCUCUCUAGUAUCUAAUUCUCUCUCGGAGUUGUGCUUUGAGCAGCAGCAGGAGCGUUCUAUUUAUAGGAGCUGACAGCCGGUCACUAGCUAAAAUAUCUCAGCCGCAGUGACUCUUGCCGCUUGACCCUUGGCCCUUGAAGCUAGGUAAAAAAUGAUUUGGCUGCUGCCCCUACAGCUAGUGCAAAGGCCUAAUCAAACCUGGCACCAUAGGAAGAGCCCACGUAUAAGACUAGAAUGUCCAAGAGACUACAUGCAUGCCACGCCAACCUCCACGUACACAUAGGUUUUUACUUAGCUAGCAAGAACAGUACAUACAUGUGCAUUCUCAUCAUGACAUGCAUGCACCUAGUUGACUUGGAAUUCUAGUACUCGGAAAUAUCUACCAAUCUAUCAUUUGUACCUGGUCCAUUUCCAUCUAAUAUUUUACGCAUGCAAAAAUUACAGUUCUAUUUAAUUACUUGCAACAAUAAUCUAGCAUGUCUUCUUCGUUCAAUUAUUUAUGUUAACAAAAUAAUAAAUUUACUUAUCUUAAUUUAAAUCAAUAACCUAAAAAUAUGGGUUAUUACAUCCUUCCCACCUUAUAAGAAUUUCGUCCCCAAAAUUAAACACUAACAUCUAUGCUAUUUUUUUUAGUGAUCAAAUUCCCUCCCAUCAUAUUUGGAACAAUUUAUUUGAUGCAUGCUCAAUAAUUAAUUAUAAAAUAAUGCAAAAAAGAUUUGCAAUCUUUCUACAAUUCAUGGAUAUAUCUGCUAUAACAUAAGUUGGCAACACUAAACAUUUUAUUUGGUAAAUUCAUUAACAAAAAGGAUAGAUAGUGGUAUAGCAAUUGUCCCAUUACUAGAACAUUAUUACCGGUUGUCUUAAACAAGAAAAUCUACACAAAUAUUAAGUCAUGUAUUAAUCUAACAAGAUGUCUAUUUAUUUCCCAUGCAUCCUCAAAUUUCAUCAAUAAUGUGUACACUAUAUUUUUUAUUUGCCUGGAUAUCUGGUGAAACUAUUCAUGAGCACCAACACACAAACUAGUUGAGACAAGAUAUGAAAAUAAAAUCUUCAUAGCUGUCACACAACACAAAUAUAUUCGACGAUCUACCCCUUUAUCCCAGCGCAACCUAAAAACCUAGAGCUCUGGUAAACAGUUCCAUCUAGAGUCCAUUGCUUUUGUUGAAUAAUGAAGUAUCUGCUUGCUGAGUAUGAUUUAUCGUACUCACCCUUGUCUCCUCCGUCUUUUUAGAUGCAGCCGAUGUAACUUAAGUAUGCCCAGAACAUGUCAUCCAAGAUUAGGCUGGACCAGUGGGUAGGAAGCGACUAGAGAAUUUAAUGUAGUUUGCCUAUUAGUAAAUGUAAAGAAAUUUGUAAACCAAAUAUAUGAGAUUUUGUGAUCCACUGCUGGUUUACAAUGUAACAACCAUAGAAAUAACAAACAAGGAAACGAACUGAUAACCCUCCUUCUGCACACAUAUACUCAUAUUUUAGUUUAAGAAUUCAUGCAUGCAUCCACAUUUGAAGAAGAAUAGAGCGUUUAGGUGCUGCUGGAGGGAAGAGCCAAGCCAUACAUCAGAAGAAAUAUGAGUAUAUGUGUGUUCGUCAGAUUUUAUACAAAGAUGAUGGAGUUUCAUCUUCUUGCAAAAUAUUAUUCUAAAGAAGAAAUCAUAUUAUCUGAGGCAAGUAGCUGCUUUGCCUAACUCCCCGAUCUCGCUUUAUUGUUGUCUUCUUUGGUUAUCGGUUAAUAUUGUUGCACCUUGAUCCUUAUUGAUCCUCUCUUGAUCCUUGAGAGAGGGAUGUGUUGUCCUCGUAUUCCAUUUGUUGAUGGAAUCAGAGUAUUUUGGAGGAACUCGUGAGAAGUCAUACGCGUAUUGUCUUUGACUGAUAUUACAGUGAUUCUACCAUUGAUUCAAACACAUAUCCUAUUUUGUAUUGGUGUCACGACGGCAAACAUAUUGUACCGGUCACAGUUCAGUUAUGGGACUGUCUGAGUUCUCCUCUAAGGACGGACCUUGUUCAGGAACGUGUCGGCGAUGGAUCCGUAGGAGCGAUCGACAUCAGUAGGUCCAGGUGUUUGGGUCUUAGUGGGUACAAGAGCUCUGCUCUUCUGGAACCUGUGUGGUUCUAGUCGAGACUGUCGACGUCGGAAUACCCCUCUUAAGAGUGUAAAAGUGUGAAAUUUCACCCCUGUGACUCCCGGGUUGGGAAGCUUGCGGUCAUGUGUCAUGCCAAUAAUUUCCUUGUUCAUUUCGUCUAUUGAUCUACACCAUCAUACCAUCGCUCCUUGUUGAAUAGUGAAGUAUCUGCUUGCUGAGUAUGAUUUGUCGUACUCACCCUUGCUUCCUCUGUUUUUUUAGAUGCGAACGAGGUAACUUAAGUAUGUUCAGAAGAUGUCUUCAUCCAAGACUAGGCUUGACCAGCGGGUGGGAAGUGACUAGAGAAUAUGAUGUCUUUACUCAACUAUUUGUAGAUGUCAAGGAAUUUGUAUAGUAAAUAUGUUAGCUUUUGUGAUCCACUUCUGGUUUAUGCCUGCUUUAUCAUGCCUUGCGUGACUAUAGGCCUCUGGUCUAUAGGCUUGCGGCGGCUGUCUCGCCUAGGGCCGGUCUCGGGGCGUGACAGUUAAAGUGGUAUCAGAGCUCUAGCUUUUUAGGUUGCGCUGCGAUAAACGGGUAGAUCGCCGAAUAUAUUUGUGUUGUGUGACAGGUAUGAAAAUUUUAUUCUCAUAUCUUGUCUCAACUAGUUUGUGUGUUGUUACUCACGAAUAUUGUCGACAGAUAUCCAUGCAAGUAAAUAAUAUAGCAUACAUAUUAUUGGUGAAAUUUGAGGAUGAAUGGGAAAUAAAUACACAUCUUGUUAGAUUAAUACAUGACUUGUUAUUUGUGUAGGUUUUCUUGUUUAAGACAACCGGUGAUAUUGUUCUACUAAUGGGACAAUUGCUAUACCACUAUCUAUCCUUUUUGUUAAUGAAUUUACCAAAUAAAAUGUUUAGUGUUGCCAACUUAUGUUAUAGCAGAUAUAUCCAUGAAUUGUAGAAAGAUUGCAAAACCUUUUUUGCAUUAUUUUUAAUUAAUUAUUGAGCAUGCAUCAAACAAACUGUUCCAAAUAUGAUGGGAGGGAAUUUGAUCACUAAAAAAAACAUAGAUGUUAGUGUUGAAUUUCGGGGACAAAAUUCUUAUAAGGUGGGUAGGAUGUAAUAACCCAUAUUUUUGGGUUAUUGAUUUAAAUUAAGAUAAGUAAUUAAAUUUGUAUUAUCUGCUAAGUUAUGCUAAAUUCUUGAUUCAAAGAAUUAAGAUAGAGCUGUAAAUUUUUGCGUUUGUCAAAAUUAUUGUUCAUGAGUAUAUUUGUUGAAACAAUAAUUAGUAACAAUAAUGAUGUCCUAUUAGCAUACCAGCCGCAUAUAGAGCGGGCCCUGUCUACCUAGAAAGGUACUACUAACUCUAGUGCAGAAGGAGCAGCAACACCACAUAGAGAUGACACAACUAAACCAGUAUCAUGAGGCUUGCCGGCAGCAUGAGUUGGAGUAUCUUGAGCAAGAACAUGAUGACUGUGUUUAUGAGAUCAAGCAUGACCUCAAUCUCCAGAUAGAGGACAGGGAUCGUUGGCUCGAAAUAGAAGAACGCAAGAGUAAGAAACUGAAGCUGGAGCGUGAUCAGUUGGAGGAGUUGACCAACAAGCAGGAGAGCAAAAUCAUGGAGCUAAUGACAGAGAACAGAAGCCUCCGUGAGAAGCUGGCGGAAAAGCUACGGGCUGGCGGAAAAGCUACAGGCGCAUGAAUAGGAUGCGAACAGUGGCACUUGGAGAUGUGAAGCAAUUGUUCCUAGCUUAUAAAUAAAUGGUUGUAGUAGUAUUGUUUGUAUAUAACCUGCUAGGAACUGUUCUGGUAGUAGCCUUUUGACUAGCUAGCACUAGCUUUUGUUGACAACUCUAGUAGUAUGGGUGUCUAUAGUAGAGUGGUUGAAGGGAAACGUGGAUGGCAGCAACACAUCUAGUAGACAUGAUGUGUAAUUUUGAUUGUACUACUGCUUUCCUCUUUAUUAAUCAGCUACCUGGUAUAUAUGUAUAUGAUGCAUGCUCUAAUGUUGACAGCUUUAUUUAUUUCUUCCUCUAGUAUUAUAGAUGGCUAGUCACAAUGGAGAUUUCUCAGCAUCACACUCCGGCGAUGGCCGGAAUGCACUAGCAGCUGCAGCAGAGCAACCACUUCCAAAUGAGUUGCUUAUAAAUAUUUUGCAACGUCAAGAACAAACCCAAAUGAAGCAGACUGAAAUUCUGGAAUAUAUAGUACAACAGUCAACUAAAGGAAAGGAGUCGUUCGAUGGAGACAAACAGGGCGCAUUACGUGAGUUUCGUCGACUUAAGCCUCCUGUUUUCCAAGGUAGUGCAAACCCAAUUGAGGCCGAGGACUGGCUAACAGAAAUAGAGAAAAGUUUUGAUGCCAUGCAUUGCCCUGAUGAAGAGAAAGUUACAUUAGCCACGUUUACGCUUCAAGGUGGGGCAUUUGAUUGGUGGACAGUGCAUAAAAAGAAGUAUCCCGAGGGCUAUCUAUUCACAUGGGAAUCAUUUAAGGAAGAGUUCUACAGAAAGUAUUUUCCGGAGAGCGUACAAAGGAAAAUGGAGCUAUCAUUUUUACAGUUAAAACAUGACCAGAAAUCUGUCGUAGAAUAUGAAAUAGAAUUUUCUAGACUUGCUCGUUAUGCCUCUGUUUAUGUCCAAAAUGAUGAAGCUAAAGCUCGGCAUUUCGCGCAAGGACUUCGCCAACCAAUGAAGUCUCGAGUGGAGGUGUUCGAGCUCAAAUCCUUUCGAGAUGUUGCUAACAAGGCAUUAAUUGUAGAACAAGCAUAUGUGGAAGAGCAAGAUGAAGUGGAGCAGUAGCGUAAGAGGAUCAAGGUUGACCAUGGAAAUCAAGGGAAUAUACAGAAAAAGAUGCAGUAGAAUUGGCGUCCGAACAACCGCCCAGUAACCCAGCCUAGACGAAAUAACUGUGUUAUUUGUCAUGGGAAUCACACAGCAUUUUAGUGCGAGUAUCGUCAUGGGAAAUGUUUUAGGUGCGGCAGAGAAGGACACAUGAUCAGUCAGUGCCACAGUUCACCGGAUCAGAAUAUGUCAAAAUCCAUUGCACCAAAGCCGUUGCCAGCACCAAAGCUCCAUUAUACUUACCUGCACCCCCUACUAACUCAAGUGGAACCUCCCAGCGCAUGAAUAGUUAUUCUGGAAGCAGGAAGCAGACAAAUUCACGUGCAAAGGUGAAUCAUUUGACCCAGCAUGAUGCAGAUGAGGAAAACAAUGUGAUUACAGGUACACUUCAAGUAUGCUCACACAAUGCAUUCACUUUAUUUGAUACCGGUGCUACACAUUCAUUUAUAUCCUCAAAAUUCAUCGAUAGUCAUGGAUUAGAAAGUACCCCUUUAAGGAAAAGGAUACAUGUGGAAUCCCCGAUGACAGAAGUAAUAGCCAAGAACAUUUGUGUUGCAUAUCCUAUAGUAAUAAAAGGGCAAGAAUUUUUGGUUGAUUUAAUAGUACUAGAUAUGCAUGAUUUUGAUAUUAUACUGGGCAUGGAUUGGCUGGCUAAGAAUCAAGCCAACAUAGACUGUCAGAGAAAACGAGUGAUAAUUCAGGUACCUAGUCAGCGUAAACUCAUUUAUCAAGCGAAGCAUAAAACUUUUGACUGCUCGUUUAGCAUGAAUUUAGAACUGAAAGAAAAGGAUAUCAAAGAAAUACCAGUCGUAAGAAAUUUUCCUGAUGUUUUUCCAAGUGAAUUACCUGGAUUACCACCGGACCGAGAAAUUGAAUUUAGUAUAGACUUGACUCCUGGUACGGCUCCUAUCUCAAAGAGUCCGUACAGAAUGUCACCUGCUGAACUAAAGGAGUUGAAGAGGCAGAUUAAGGAGCUAGAAGAAAAACAAUUCAUUCGACCUAGCAUGUCACCAUGGGGCGCUCCGGUGUUGUUUGUGAAAAAGAAGGACGGCAGUUGGCGACUUUGUGUGGAUUAUCGGGAGCUAAACAAGGUAACUAUUAAGAACCAAUAUCCAUUACCAAGAAUUGAUGAUUUGUUCGAUCAAUUACAAGGGUGUCGAGUAUUUUCAAAGAUUGAUUUGCAGUCGGGAUAUCAUCAGUUAAAAAUAAAGGAUGGAGAUAUUUCAAAAACAGCGUUCCGCACAAGAUAUGGGAAUUAUGAGUACGUUGUUAUGCCAUUCGGAUUAACAAAUGCCCCCGCGGCCUUCAUGGAUUUGAUGAACCGAGUGUUCAGACCAUUUUUGGAUCAGUUCGUAGUUGUAUUUAUUGAUGAUAUUUUGAUUUAUUCAAAGACAGAAGAAGAACAUGCUCAACACCUAGAAAUAGUUCUUCAGAUAUUAAGGAAGCAUAAAUUAUAUGCAAAAUUGAAGAAAUGUGAUUUCUGGUUAAAUAAGGUGUCUUUUCUAGGACACAUUAUUUCAGGGGAAGGAAUAUCACCAGAUCCAACAAAAAUUCAAGCAAUAGUAGAUUGGAAGAGGCCAACCACCGUUACAGAAAUAAUAAGUUUCUUGGGAUUAGCAGGUUAUUACCGAAGAUUUAUUGAAGGCUUUGCACAGCUAGCAGCACCAUUGACACAGCUCACUCGAAAAGGGACAAAAUUUAUUUGGGAUGAAAAAUGUGAAGAAAACUUCCAAGAACUAAAGCAGCGAUUGGUGACGGCCCUUGUUCUAGCAGUGCCAAUAAGUGGAAUUGGAUUUACUAUAUUCUGUGAUGCUUCAAAAAUAGGCUUGGGUUGUGUGCUUAUGCAAAACAAUAAGGUAAUUGCUUAUGCUUCUCGACAGCUAAAGACACAUGAGAAAAAUUAUCCGACUCAUGAUUUGGAAUUGGGUGCUGUCAUCUUUGCAUUAAAAAUAUGGAGGCAUUAUUUGUAUGGAGAACGAUGUGAAAUUUAUACAGAUCAUAAGAGCCUGAAAUACAUAUUCACCCAAAAGGAAUUAAACAUGCGACAACCAAGGUGGCUAGAGCUACUUAAGGAUUAUGAUAUCAACAUAAAUUACCAUCCAGGUAAAGCUAACGUCGUGGCCGAUGCGCUUAGUAGAAAGACUGUUUGCAACAUGGCAUGUCUAAUUACUACACAAAGAGACAUUUUGAGGGACAUGGAGAAAUUGGGUAUAGAAGUAUAUGUACGUGAUUCAACUAGCACUGUUAUGGCAUUACAAGUCAAGCCUGAUCUGCAAGACAAAAUCCGGAUGAAACAAAUGGACGACCCAUUUCUUUUGAACGUCCGAAAGGGGAUAGAACAAGGGAAGCCAUCGGAGUUUCAUAUAAAAAGUGAUGGGUCAGUAUGGCUGAGGAACCGCUUAUGUGUCCCUAACCAGCCAGAUUUAAAGUUGGAAAUUAUGCAAGAGGCACACUCCACACCAUACACCGUGCACCCAGGGAGCAAAAAGAUGUAUCAUGACAUUAAAGGGAAUUUUUGGUGGCCCAACAUGAAGAGAUAAAUAGCAAAAUUUGUUUUAGAAUGUCCAAUAUGUCAGCAGGUAAAGGUAGACCAUCAAAAACCAGCCGGUCUUCUACAACCUUUAAAAAUCCCGACAUGGAAAUGGGAAGAAAUUAGUAUGGAUUUUUUCACGGGUGUACCUCAAACUUCUGCAGGAUAGGAUGCUAUAUGGGUCAUAGUAGACAGAUUGACCAAAGUGGCACAAUUUAUCCCAGUAAAGAAAACAUUUUCUCUUGAAAAAUUAGCUAAAUUAUACAUCAAGGAGAUAGUUGCUAAUUAUGGAGUUCCUGUCGACAUUACAUCUGAUCGAGAUCCGAGGUUUGUCUCAAGAUUUUGGAAAAUCUUACAUAAAGCAUUGGGAACAAAGUUAAAUUUUAGUACGGCGUAUCAUCCUCAAUCCGAUGGACAGUCAGAACGAGUUAUACAAAUAUUGGAGGAUAUGUUGCGAGCAAGUGUGUUAGACUUCAAGGAAAAAUGGGAUGAAUCACUUCCUCUGGUUAAAUUCGCAUACAAUAAUAGUUAUCAGUCAAGUAUUAAAAUGGCCCCUUAUGAAGCGUUAUAUGGCAAGAGGUGUCGCUCUCCAAUCUGCUGGGAAGAAAAUGGAGAAAGGAAAUAUCUAGGCCUAGAUUUAGUUCAACAUGCCGAGGAAAAAUUACGAAUUAUUUGUGAGCACCUAAAGGCAGUACAAAGUCGACAAAAGACUCAAGCAGAUAAAAAGCGCAGAGAAGUUGAGUUUAAGGCAGGAGAUUUUGUCUAUUUGAAAGUUUCUCCAAAGAAAGGGACAAGACGUUUUGGCCUACAUGGAAAAUUAAGUCCAAGAUAUGUCGGGCCAUUUCAAAUCAUUAAUAAAGUUGGAGCUGUCGCUUAUCGUCUGGAAUUACCCCCAAAUUUAUUAGGGAUACACAACGUGUUCCAUGUAUCCACUUUAAAGAAGUGUGAAUUCCCACCAAAAACAGUAGAAUUACCACUCACGGAGCUGCAGCCGGAUCUAUCCUAUGAAGAGCACCCAAUAAAGAUUUUGGAUGUAAAAUAUAGGGUAAUGAGAAAAAGGACCAUUCGGUUUGUAAAAGUUCAAUGGAGCAACCAUACAGAGGAGGAGGCGACUUGGGAAAAAUAAGAUGAUCUACACGCAUGUUUUCCGCAUCUCCAGUUUAUUGGUAAUUAAAUUUUGAGGACGAAAUUUCUAUAAAUAGGGGAGGAUGUAAUACCCGUGUUUAUUAGCAUAAAUAAGAUGUUUUAUUUGGUAAGUUAACAAAUUAGCAAAAUAUUGGAGUAGUAAUAAUCAGCUUAAUUAGACAAAUAAAUCAUUGGCAAUCAUUGGUUAGUACUAAGUAAGAGUAGUCAACUUGAAAGGAUAUGCAUUACAAGAACAUGCUUGUAGAACCUUCGGGUAGGAGGGCCAUGUGCGGGUGUGGUACAAGAUAUUUAGUAGCUCAAGUUUGCAUUUAUCUGUAGCAUUUAAUGCUCUAUUGAGUCAGCUAGGCAUGUGUAGUGUGAAAGUACAAACUGCUGUAAAACUAGGGACACCGAGGCUGCUGAGUUACACUUAUCCAGCUCCAUUUCCUACCCUACCAUGCCUAUAAAUAGAGGAGCAAGAGCACACUGUAGUAUUCAUCCCAACAUACAAACCAGUUCAGUAACUAGCAUUGCAUGGAGUAGAAUCACACUGACCGGCAAGAGCGCUCGGAGGAAGCAGCGAGUCAGGCAAGCAUGCAUUCCAUCUAGCCUUUCUAGCUGUCCUAUUCCUUGUUUGUCUCACUGUUCAUGCCAUGCUCUAUAGCUAGUAGUACUUCUGAAGCUCUAUAAUGUGCACUGUUCAUUUGAUUCCUGUACAUCUCUUGAAGCUAGCAUGCAUACCACAAUACUACCUUUUGGUUUAUGAUCACGAUGGAGAAAUCCUUAGUACAUGCAUGUGAGCAAAUGGAUUAAUGGCUCAUGCAUGGAUGGUUGGUUCUGUGAAAAGCCUAGUGAUAUUUAUUUUGGUCUUGCAUGUACUUCCUCUUGCUAAUCCUUGUCUAGUAAAUUUUAUAAAAUCUAGUAUCACGACGGCAAACGUAUUGUACCGGUCACAGUUCAGGUAUGGGACUGUCUGAGUUCUCCGCUAAGAACGCCACUCGUUCGGAAGCGUGUCGAUGAUGGAUCCAUAGGAGCGAUCGACACUAGUAAGUCGAGUGGGCGGUUCUUGGGGGAAUAGAGAGCUCUGCUCUACUAGCGCCUGUGUGGUUCUAGUCGAGGCUGCUGACGUCGGAGUACCCCUCUUAAGAGCGUAAAAGUGUGAAAUUUCACCCCUGUGACUCCCGGGUUGGGAAGCUUGCGGUCAUGUGUGAUGUCAGUUAUUUCUUUCCUUUUCUUUAAAUUAAUCUCCAUUAUCUUCCUCUGCCAACAAACUCUUUCUUUACAACUAACCCCUGUGUUCUGUCACUAUUUGCUGAGAGAAGUUCCUGUGUACCCGUGUGCUUGCUGAGUAUGAGAUCAUACUCAUUCUUGCUAUUGUUGUUGAUUUUGUAGAAGUAGCAAAUGAUGGAUGUGCUGAUGAGAAUGAGGAACAGUUGGAGUAGCUCUACGGGUUGGGAAUAAAUAAAGAAGUUGCAUGUAUCAUAACCUUUGUAAUAGCUAGUAAUGAAUAAAGUUGGCUCUUGUGCAUACUGGAAAAUAAUAUGUUUACUAGCCUAACAUGCUUAUAAAUUGGAGAUUUAUAAGCAUGUGGCGAUUGUCACUGCUAAGACUCACUUGGGGCGUGACAAUUUUAUUGGUAUCAGAGCUCUUGUACCCGCUAAGACACGAACACCUGGACCUACUGAACAUGGCUCUGAUACCACUUUAACUGUCACGCCCCGAGACCGGGCCUAGGCGAGACAGCCGCCACGAGCCUAUAGACCAGAGGCCUAUAGUCACACAAGGCAUGAUAAAGCAGGCAUAAACCAGAAGUGGAUCACAAAAGCUAAUAUAUUUACUAUAAAAAUUCCUUAACAUCUACAAAUAGUUGAGUAAAGACAUCAUAUUCUCUAGUCGCUUCCCACCCGCUGGUCAAGCCUAGUCUUGGAUGAAGACAUCUUCUGAACAUACUUAAGUUGAACAUACUUAAGUUACCUCGUUCGCAUCUAAAAAAACAGAGGAAGCAAGGGUGAGUACGACAAAUCAUACUCAGCAAGCAGAUACUUCACUAUUCAACAAGGAGCAAUGGUAUGAUGGUGUAGAUCAACAUACGAAAUGAACAAGGAAAUUAUUGGCAUCACACAUGACUGCAAGCUUCCCAACCUGGGAGUCACAGGGGUGAAAUUUCACACUUUUACGCUCUUAAGAGGGGUACUCCGACGUCAGCAGCCUCGACUAGAACCACACACUUUAACUGUCACGCCCCGAGACCGGGCCUAGGCGAGACAGCCGCCGCGCGCCUAUAGACCAGAGGCCUAUAGUCACGCAAGGCAUGAUAAAGCAGGCAUAAACCAGCAGUGGAUCACAAAAUCUCAUAUAUUUGGUUUACAAAUUUCUUUACAUUUACAAAUAGGCAAACUACAUUAAAUUCUCUAGUCGCUUCCUACCCACUGGUCCAGCCUAAUCUUCGAUGACAUCUUCUGGGCAUACUUAAGUUACAUUGGCUGCAUCUAAAAAGACGAAGGAGACAAGGGUGAGUACGAUAAAUCAUACUCAACAAGCAUAUACUUCAUUAUUCAACAAAAGCAAUGGUAAAAUGAUGUAGAUCAACAAACGAACUGAAUCCAAAGGAUAAACAAGGUAACAAUCACUGGAACAUAUUUUGCUGGAGAUGUGUAAAAUAAAUAGUAUAAUCAAAGACGAACAAGGGAGGUAUUGGCGUCACACGUGACCGCAAGCUUCCCAACCCGGGAGUCACAGGGGUGAAAUUUCACACUUUUACGCUCUUAAGAGGGGUACUCCGACGUCGACAGUCUCGACUAGAACCACACAGGUUCCAGAAGAGCAGAGCUCUCUAUUCCCCCAAGAACCACCCACUCGACUUACUAGUGUCGAUCGCUCCUACGGAUCCAUCAUCGACACGCUUCCGAACGAGUGGCGUUCUUAGCGGAGAACUCAGACAAUCCCAUACCUGAACUGUGACCGGUACAAUACGUUUGCCGUCGUGAUACCAGAUUUUAUAAAAUUUACUAGACAAGGAUUAGCAAGAGGAAGUACAUGCAAGACAAAAAUAAAUAUCACUAGGCUUUUCACAGAACCAACCAUCCAUGCAUGAGCCAUUAAUCCAUGUGCUCACAUGCAUGUACCAAGGAUUUCUCCACCGUGAUCAUAAACCAAAAGGUAGUACUGUGGUAUGCAUGCUAGCUUCAAGAGAUGUACAGGAAUCAAAUGAACAGUGCACAUUAUAGAGCUUCAGAAGUACUACUAGCUAUAGAGCAUGGCAUGAACAGUGAGACAAACAAGGAAUAGGACAGCUAGAAAGGCUAGAUGGAACGCAUGCUUGCCUGACUCGCUACUUCCUCCGAGCGCUCUUGCAGUCAUGUGUGAUGCCAGUUAUUUCUUUCCUUUUCUUUAAAUUAAUCUCCAUUACCUUCCUCUGCCAACAAACUCUUUCUUUACAACUAACCCCUUGUGUUCUGUCACUAUUUGCUGAGAGAAGUUCCUGUGUACCCGUGUGCUUGCUGAGUAUGAGAUCAUACUCAUUUUUGCUAUUGUCGUUGAUUUUGCAGAAGUAGCAAAUGAUGGAUGUGCUGAUGAGAAUGAUGAACAGUAGGAGUAGCUCUACGGGUUGGGAAUAAAUAAAGAAGUUGCAUGUAUCAUAACCUUUGUAAUAGCUAGUAAUGAAUAAAGUUGGCUCUUGUGCAUACUGGAAAAUAAUUUGUUUACUAGCCUAACAUGCUUAUAAAUUUGAGAUUUAUAAGCAUGUGGUGAUUGUCACGGCCGCCUAUAGACCAGAGGCCUAUAGUCACGCAAGGCAUGAUAAAACAGGCAUAAACCAACAGUGGAUCACAAAAUCUCAUAUAUUUGGUUUACAAAUUUCUUUACAUUUACAAAUAGGCAAACUACAUUAAAUUCUCUAGUCGCUUCCUACCCACUGGUCCAGCCUAAUCUUGGAUGACAUCUUCUAGGCAUACUUAAGUUACAUCGGCUGCAUCUAAAAAGACGGAGGAGACAAGGGUGAGUACGAUAAAUCAUACUCAGCAAGCAGAUACUUCACUAAAAUUGUCACGCCUCAAGUGAGUCUUAGCCGUGACAAUCGCCACAUGCUUAUAAAUUUUGAUUUAUAAGCAUGUGGCGAUUGUCACGGCUAAGACUCACUUGGGGCGUGACAGCCCCUGCCUGGAUCAAGUCUGUGAUGAGGUGUGUGACAAAUGUUUGUUAUGCUGUCAGAGUUAACGAGGAACUUACUGAUCCGGUGGUACCUUCUCGGGGUAUUCGCCAGGGGGACCCGAUCAGCCCCUACAUGUUCCUCUUAUGCACUAAAGGUCUAUCUAGUCUGCUUUUUCAGAAGGAGUGUCGUGGCGAGCUACAUGGGAUCAGAAACUGCCGUCAAGGUCCACCUAUCUCACACCUCCUAUUCGCGGACGAUAGCAUUUUCUUUGCAAGGAGCGAUCACCGUAGUGUGGCCUCGCUGGCAUCGGUUUUACACACAUUUGUGAGGGCUCUGCCCAAUCUAUCAACAAGGAGAAAUCUUCAAUCUUCUUUGGAAAUCACUGUCCGGAUAGUGUCAAGAAUAGGGUUAAGUCUCAGCUUGGAGUCUAUAAUGAGGACUUUCAUGGAUCUUAUCUUGGGAUGCCCACGGAGGUUGGAAAAUCUCCUACUAGCACUUUCAAAAUUUUGACUGACAGAGCAUGGCAGAAUAUUUUUGGAUGAUGCGACCGACCUUUAUCUAGGGCUGGAAAUGAAACACUGCUAAAAUCAAUUACACAUGCCAUCCCAACAUUUGUCUCCAGCUGCUUUCGCCUUCCUGUCGCAACGUGUGAGAAGUUUUGCCAAAUUGUGGCCGAUCAAUGGUGGGGUCGAGAGGAUGGAAAGAGGAAGCUACACUGGAGGUCUUGGGCUUGGCUCUCGACCCCAAAGUCGCUUGGUGGUAUGGGUUUUCGGGAUAUGGUGUUGUUCAAUCAGGCAAUGCUUGGUAAGCAGAGAUGGCGGCUCUUCACUUAACCUGAUUCGCUUUGUGCUCGUGUUCUGAAGGGCAGAUACUUUCCGACAGGGGACUUUUGGAACACCACGAUGCCACGAACUGCCUCGGCGACCUGGCGUGGUAUCCUAAAUGGCCGGGACUUUCUCAAACAAGGGGUUCAGUGGGGCAUUGGUGAUGGUAGGAACAUACGCAUUCUAUCUGAUCAUUGGAUCCCAUCAACAUCACCGGCCCGACUGCAUCCUCUGUUCCCCAUUCCAGUAACCGCCACUGUCCACUGUCUUCUAGACGAGGUGAACGGCUCUUGGGAUGUGGAGACCGUGAGAGCUUUCUUUCCUGAGAGAGUGGCUGAUGAUAUCCUUCCGAUUCCAGUUAACAGAUUCAAGGGUCCAGAUUUUGCUCGUUGGCCUUUUUCCAAAUUUGGAGAGUAUUCGGUCAGGUCUGCGUAUAACAUGGUAAGAACGACCCGUUUCUUGUUGGCUCGGAGUGGCAAUGGCCUGGGUCAGAGCUCGACCUGGUCAGAAGAAGAAAAGCUAUGGAAGGCGUUGUGGCGAGUCAAGGCACCCAACAAGAUGAAGAUUGUCCUAUGGCGAUUGGCUCAUGAUUGUCUACCGUCAGGGGAGCAGCUUCUUCAUCGCCAGAUCCCGACUAGAACAGAUUGUUGUUUCUACGGCAGAUCGGAGAGUGUGGAGCACGCGCUGCUCUUCUGCCCCCAUGCGCGGGCGGUCUGGGAUAUGAUCAGGGAGUGCUUCGAUAUUAAGCUCUGUCGGUCCUCUUUUGCAUCUCCUAAACAAUGGCUCUUUGACUUUCUCUCCCGCUUCUCCGAUCAAGAAGCGACAAUCUUGACUGUGUCGGUUUGGCACAUAUGGGAGGCACGAAAUGCUGGAAGGAUGAACCUGUUGCUCCUCAUCCGAGGCACACAGCGGCUAGGGCCCGAGCUUACAUCGAGUUGAUCUUCCAACACCUGUACAAACCUGUGCCUGCACUUAGGCGUGAGACCUCUACGUCAAGCCCUCUUUGGUCUCCCGCCGCCGCAGGGCACGCUGGUCGCCUUCUCAGAUGCUGCUAUUUCGGUGGAACUGAACAAAUCUGGGUUUGGUGUGGUAUUUUUGGAUCAUAUGGGUCACUGUGUGGCGUCUUGCUCUAAACUUGUGAAAGGUGUGUUGGAUCUUGAAGUGGCCGAGGCCAUGGCGCUCCGUCGAGCUGUCCGUUUGGCUAGAGAGGAAGGAUUGGCUGAUGUGCUUUUCAAGUCAGACUGUCUCUCAGUGGUGCAGCGCAUGAAAUCUCCAGCCAUGGAUCGUUCAAUGAUGGGAUCUGUGUUGGCUGAGGUCAAGGUAGUGGCUAAUGGUCUCCACUUUGCGUCGUUUUUGCAUAUACGUCGGCAUAUUAAUGUUUUAGCUCAUGUCUUACCUAGAUCAAGCUUGUUUUCUACUAGUCUUUGUAUUUCUCAUUCUGCUCCGGAUUACAUCAACUCUUUGUAAGUUUGUUUUUUGAUCAAUAAAGACCGACGUUCUAAAAAAACAAUUCGGUUUGGAGGCGUGGCCAUCGCAGCCUUGCACUGUGCCCACGAUUAGAAAACUCGCUGACCUCUUCUAGAUACAUUGCAUACAUUCGCAAAAAGAGUAUACGUUGCAUACGUAGUCCGAAGAUGGUAAAUAUGUCUAGACUAUUUCUCCCGACAGGUACUCCCUUCUUUUCGAAAUAUAAGUUAUUUUAGGGAUUUUAAUAUGAACUGACAUAUUUUAGAGUAUACAUCCACUCAUCUUGUUCUGUAUGUAAUACUCCCUCCGUUCCUAAAUGUAAGUCUUUUUAAAUAUUCCACUACAAACUACAUAUGGAUGUAUAUACACAUAUUUUAGAGCAUAGAUUCACGCAUUUUGCUUCCUAUAUGGAUCAUAGUGGAACCUUUAAAAAGACUUAUAUUUAAAAACGGAGAAAGUAUAUAUUAAAAUCUCUGAAAGAGACUUGUAUUUAGAAACGAAGGGAGUAUUUCCAAACAAAGCGAGUAUCUUGGCCGCAACCGCAGCUAGCGGACGACGCCGAUGAUGUUGAGACGCCAUCAAACCCAGCGAGAGGGCAGUUGCGUGGGAUCGACGUAAGUGGCAUUAUGACAAAGCUGUCAAGGUGCAACUGCUUCUCCCGCCGCACUGUUACGGAUGUCACGGGGGGCAUAGCUAGUUAAGCUACGGGAGAGUGGAACCCAGCCCACGCACCGUUGUUGAUCCUAUCUCGCCGAGAGUCGCCGGCUCCGGCCACAGGCCGGGCAGCCGGGCAAGCUUCGUCCUGCAUGCGAUCGAUGCAUGCAUGGACCACUUAGCCACUCGAUCGGUCGGAAUUAAGCGAGCCACGGUACGUUGAGCUAGCAUGAUUGGCAGAAGCAGGGCGCCCCUCACGUCGCAUGCAGCCAUUAAGGCCCUGUACAAUGAAAGGUGCUUAGGGGAGAUGCUUAGAGAAAUAAAUCAGGCUUUUCUUAAGUAUCAGUGCUUAUUUGUACAUGAUAGACGUUUAACUAAUCGUCUCUCCUGUAAAAAUAGGCACCGGUGCUUCAAAAAAACCCGGUUUAUUUUUUAAGCAUCUUUCUAAGCACCUUCCAUUGUACAAGGCCUAACAGUGACACACUAGCUGCUCCUCUCAUGUCGUGCGUGUCUGCAUGUGCAUCGUGUGACCACAGGGCAUGAUAUGGAUGCAAACUUUUGUUAGGCAGAUCAGAUGGCUCUAGUCGCUCGUAUAGAUAACCAAGGGAGGGAGCUCCACAUGAGAUGUUUAUGGCGCCUUAAUCGGGGUGUUAGGCUGCUCCGGCAAAGCACAGCACCACUGCUGAACGCCUGCGACGGUGGGUCUGCCCCCACGUGAUAUUGCUCUCUAGCUUCUCUUUGUUGUGUGUGCCCAGCCUCAAUAAUCCAUUUUUUCUGAAAUCUUAUCCGCUUAUCCCUUACCCAUGAGUGACCGGGUCGUGCUGAGCAGUAUCGUGCGGACGUACUAAUGGAAAUUGUUUAGUGUGCUACAUAUAUCUUGGUCCGUGCUUGAAUUAGUUGUGCAUAGUUUAUCCUAAAUGCUGCGCAGCAUUUUUCUAGCCAUCGCGCGCGAAAGCUCUUCCUGCCUUCGAUCACCUAGCACGAAUCACGAUGCAAAGCUGAUGUCAGGUCGGUUUUUUGAAUUGUUCGCGCACGCGUCUGAAUUGAGCAAACGAAGUUCAGCUUGGAGCAACUCCAAUGCGCCAAUCCAAACAGCCGCCAAUGCGUCCAACACACCGAUCAUAUUUGCCGGCGUGGCCGGUUGGCCGCCUUUUUUUAACAAAUAUGCGCACAUUUUGCAUAGUUUCACAACUAAAUAAACAUAAUUUCACAAUCAAAUAAAGCAUAGUUUGACAACUAAAUAAAUUUAGCAUGGUUUUACAAGCCGGAUAAAAAUUAAAUUGUCUCAAAUACAUGUGAAAAAAAGAUACAUCUAUUGGUUGCCAACAUGAGCCCACAUAUACUCAACAAAAUCAUUUUGCAGCUGCAUGUGAGGUUUUUAAUCACGCAUUUCAUUAUGAAAUUGUGUGAACUGUGCAAAAGUGGUCGCUCCUCCAUAUUCAGGCACAACAUUCUCACCUAAAACUAAAACCUUGAUCGUAGGUACGUUCCGGGCGCUUAUCCUCCACGAUUAUAUUGUGCAUGAUCACACAAGUAGUCAUCACCUCCCACAACUUCUUUGUUCUUCAAGUCCUAACAGGAUACCGAACGAUGCCCCAAUGAGAUUGCAGAACACCAAAGGCACGCUCAACAUCCUUCCUAGCACUCUCUUGCUCUUGGGCAAAUAUUUUCAUCUUCUCUCAGACAGGGUUGGGGAUUGUCUUCAUAAUAGUGGUCCACUGAGGAUAGAUACCGUCACCUAGGUAGUAUCCAUAGUCGUAGUUGUGCCCGUUGAUGGUAACAUUCACCAGCGGGUUGUUGCUUUCGACAGGCCUUGCAAACACGGACGAGCGUUGAAGCACGUUGAUACCAUUAGGUGAUCCCGCCAUGCCGAAGAAAGAGUGACAGAUCCAAAGAUCUUGUGGCCACGGCCUCAAGUAUGACACAGCAAACCCUGGCAUGGCACUUAUACUGCCCUUGCCAAGUAGAAGGUGAAGGAAAUAUGCCCUAGAGGCAAUAAUAAAGUUGUUAUUUUAUAUUUCCUUAUUCAUGAUAAAUGUUUAUUAUUCAUGCUAGAAUUGUAUUAACCGGAAACUUGAUACAUGUGUGGAUACAUAGACAAAACACCAUGUUCCUAGUAAGCCUCUACUAGACUAGCUAGUUAAUCAAAGAUGGUUAAGUUUCCUAACCAUAGACAUGUUUUGUCAUUGGAUGAACGGGAUCACAUCAUUAGAGAAUGAUGUGAUGGACAAGACCCAUCCGUUAGCUUAGCAUAAUGAUCGUUCAGUUUUAUUGCUAUUGCUUUCUUCAUGUCAAAUACAUAUUCCUCCGACUAUGAGAUUUUGCAACUCCCAGAUACCGGAGGAGUGCUUUGUGUGCUAUCAAACGUCACAACAUAACUAUAAAGAUGCUCUACAGGUAUCUCCGAAGGUGUUUGUUGGGUUGGCAUAGAUCAAGAUUAGGAUUUGUCACUCUGAGUAUCGGUGGGGUAUCUCUGGGCCCUCUCGGUAAUGCACAUCAUAAGAAGCCUUGCAAGCAAAGGGACUAAUGAGUUAUUUACAGGAUGAUGCAUUACGGUAUGUGUAAAGAGACGUGUCGGUAACGAGAUUUAACUAGGUAUGAAGAUACCGACGAUCGAAUCUUGGGCAAGUAACAUACCGAUGACAAAGGGAAUAAUGUAUGUUGUCAUAAGGUUCGACCGAUAAAGAUCUUCGUAGAAUAUGUAGGAGCCAAUAUGGGCAUCCAGGUCACACUUUUGGUUAUUGACUGGAGAGGUCUCUCGGUCAUGUCUACAUAGCUCUUGAACCCGUAGGGUCCGCACGCUUAACGUUUGUUGACGAUAUAUUAUUAUAUGAGUUAUGUAUGUUGGUGACCAAAUGUUGUUCGGAGUCUCGGAUGAGAUCACGGACAUGACGAGGAGCUCCAGAAUGGUCUGAGGGUAAAGAUUCAUAUAUUGGAAGAUAUGGUUAGGCCAAGGGGUUUGGCCCAUGGGGAUAUAGGUCGGUGCAAAAGAAAGUUUUGCGGAGGUCAGAGGCCAAACGCCGGAGACCAUGGCGUCUGGCCCUGGGCCAGACGCCGAGGCCCAUGGCGUCUGGGCCAGACGCCAAGGAUUGUGGUGUGUGGGCCUGGAGUCCGAGUGGGAUUCCUGCCUUUCGGGCAAAACCGACUUUGAGGAGGCUUUUGCUCCAAGUUUCGACCCCAGGGCUCAACAUAUAAAUAGAGGGGCAGGGCUAGCACCAAAGACACAUCAAGAUUCACCAAGCCGUGUGCCGACAACCCCGUCCCCUCUAGUUUAUCCUCCGUCAUAGUUUCCGUAGUGCUUAGGCGAAGCCCUGCGGAGAUUGUUCUUCACCAACACCGUCACCAUGUCGCCGUGCUGACGGAACUCAUCUACUUCCUCGACACUCUGCUGGAUCAAGAGUUUGAGGGACAUCAUCGAGCUGAAUGUGUGUAGAAGUCGGAGGUGCCGUACGUUCGGUACUUGAUUGGUCGGAACGAGAAGAAGUUCGACUACAUCAACCGCGUUGUCAAACGCUUCCGCUUUCGGUCUACGAGGGUACGUAGAUACACUCUCCCCAUAUCGUUGCUAUGCAUCUCCUAGAUAGAUCUUGCGUGAGCGUAGGAAUUUUUUGAAAUUGCAUGCUACGUUUCCCAACAGUGGCAUCCGAGCCAGGUCUAUGCGUAGAUGAUAUGCACAAGUAUAACACAAAGAGUUGUGAGCGGUGAUUGUCAUACUACUUACCACCAAUGUCUUAUUUUGAUUCGGUGGUAUUGUUGGAUGAAGCGGCCCGGACCAACCUUACAUGACCACGUUCAUAAGACCAGUUCCACUGAUAGACAUGCAACUAGUUUUGCAUAAAGGUGGCCGACGGGUGUCUAUUUCUCCUACUUUAGUUGAAUCGAAUUUGACUGCAGACGGUCCUUGUUGAAGGUUACAACAGCAAACUUGAUAAAUCACCAUUGUGGUUUUGUGCCGUAGGUAAGAACGGUUCUUGCUAGAAUCUCGUAGCAGCCACGUAAAACUUACAACAACAAAGUAGAGGGCGUAUAACUUGUUUUUGUAGGGCAUGUUGUGACGUGAUAUACGUUGUUGUAUGAGAUGAUCAUGUUUUGUAGAAGUUAUCGGCAACUGGCAAGAGCCUUAUGGUUGUCGCUUUAUUGUAUGAAAUGCAAACGUCAUGUAAUUGCUUUAGUUUGUCACUAAGCAGUAGCGAUAGUUGUAGAAGCAAUAGUUGGCAAGACAACCAUGACGCUACGAAGGAGAUCAAGGUGUCAAGCCGGUGACAAUGGAGAUCAUGACGUUGCUUUGUAGAUGGAGAUCGAAAGCAAAAGAUGAUGGUGGCCAUAUCAUGUCACAUAUUUUGAUUGCAUGUGAUGUUUAUCUUUAUGCAUCUUAUUUUGCUUAGUACGGCGGUAGCAUUAUAAGAUGAUCCCUUAACUAAAUUUUAAGGUAUAAGUGUUCUCCUCGAGUAUGCACCAUUGCAACAGUUCUUCAUGCUGAGACACCACGUGAUGAUCGGGUGUGAUAGGCUCUACGUUCACAUACAAAGAGUGCAAGAUAGUUUUGCACAUGUGAAAUACUCGGGGUAAACUUGACUAGCCUAGCAUGUACAGACAUGGCCUUGGAACACUCUAGACUGAAAGGUCGAACGUGAAUCAUAUAGUAGAUAUGAUCAACAUAGAGAUGUUCACCAUUGAUGACUUCUCCAUCUCACGUGAUGAUCAGACAUGGUUUAGUUGAUUUGGAUCACGUAUCAUUUAUAUGACUUGGGAGAUGUCUAUCUAAGUGGGAGUUCUUAAGUAAUAUGAUUAAUUGAACUUAAUUUAUCAUGAACUUAGUCCCGAUAGUUUUUGCAUAUCUAUGUUGUAGAUCAAUGGCCCGUGCUACUGUUCCUUGAAUUUUAAUGCGUUCCUAGAGAAUGCUAAGUUGAAAGAUGAUGGUAGCAACUACACGGGCUGGGUCCGUAACUUGAGGAUUAUCCUCAUUGGUGCACACAAGAAUUAUGUCCUUCAUGCAUUGCUAGGUGUACCACCCCCCUCCCAACACCUGCAGACGUUGUGAACGCCUGGCAGUCGUGUGUUGAUGACUACUCAAUAGUUCAGUGUGUCAUGCUUUACGGCUUAGAAUCGGGACUUUAAAGACGUUUUGAACGUCAUGGACCAUAUGAGAUGUUCCAGGAGUUGAAGUUGAUAUUUCAAGCAAAUGCCCGAGUUGAGAGAUAUGAGGUCUAUGAUACGUCUCCAACGUAUCUGUAGUUUUUAAUUGUUCCAUGUUAUUAUAUUAUCAUUCUUGCAUGUUUUACAAUCAUUUUAUAGUCAUUUUAUAUCAUUUUUUGGUACUAACCUAUUGACAAAGUGCCCCGUGCCAGUUGUUGUCUUCUGCUUGUUUUUUACAUCGCAGGAAAUAAAUAACAAUCGGAGUCCAAACGCAGUGAAACUUUUUAUGGAUUUUUUUGGACCAAAAGACAUCCAGUGGGCAAAGAAAGUAAUCUGUUAGUCAGCCCAAGAAGGCUAUGAAGAAGAAAUCUAUUGUGAAGCCAUCUUCUUCUGCAAUGCCCUCACGACCUAGCUCCUCAUUGCCCUCAUGGCCCAGCUCCUCAAAGCCCUCAGCUGCACCUACAAAGUUCUCAGCACCAGUGCAUCUUACCACGUGCCAAAGGACUACAUGCUUUUCAAUUGCUUCAGGAGCUUCAGCAAGUUCCUCAGCACAGCCAUAGCUGCUGAAGAAAAAGGUCACUGCUAGACGCGGCACAAGGCCAAGUCCUCACAAGAAGCAGGUCGCUUUUGAAGUACCAUCAUCUAAAGAUGAUGCUCAUGAUGAAGAACUGGCUCAAAUCAUCAGAGACCGACAAAACCGGGACGCUAGUGCCAAAGGUAGUGUCGUGCCGCUCUUGCUGGAUCCGAAGAAGAUCCUUGACUACACCGACCUUUGGCAUAAAGAUCCCAACACACCUCUCUCCUAUCUGAAGCUCACACCAGGCCAAAGUCACGUGUUGACUGCUUUCAUUGCUGAAGAAAAAUGGAAGUUUGAGAAGAAAGAUCAGUGAAGAAAGCUCAGUACAAGAAGGAGCAUUAUCUGAAGAAAAAUGUUCUAAAAAUGACGACUGAACAACUUGUAACUAUUUAGUCUGAAAUCAAAGCUCUCAAUGAUGAAUUUGACGCAUACAAAGCUGAUUGGCUAGGAGCCAAAGCCAGAUUCGUCAUGCUGGCUAAAGGCCUCAAGCCCAAUGUUGUUGCUGAAGCGCAACAAGAAGUUCCUCAGGGUGAAGCAUCUGCUCAACCCACUGAAGAACAUGCCAGCACCACUGAUGAAACUUAGGCUGCUGAAGAAACUGAGAGUGCUAGGGCUGAUGAUGCUAUUCCAGCCAACGUUGUGCCUAAAGAAAUUGUGCCUCUGUCAUCUGCUUCCCCUGCAAAAUCUUCAGAGAUGAAAAGCACUCUCCUUCCUUUUGCAUCAGAAGUGAAGAAAACCAAGGCUGUCGAAAGGGCAUCAGCUAAGAAGAGGAAAGCAUCAGACGCCUCAGAGUCUUCAGCUCCGAAGAAAGUGAAGACUUUGACGAGCUCUUUUGAGAAUCCCAUUGAUGUUGUUCCACUAAAUGCCAUGCCAUCAAAGGAAAUUGUUCCCUUUGGUGAAGAAUAUGUCAUCGAUGAUGACAUUGAUGAAGGUGAUCCAUCUGCUGCUACGUCAGAGCAGUUGGAUGAAGAAAUUGAAGUGGAUGAUAUCCCUUCAUCGUUACAGGUAUCAUCGCCGCUGCCUUAGUUCACUACUGAAGAGGUCGGUGUUGAAGAAGUUGAAGCUAAAGAAGAGGAUGUGGACAUCGGGUCUACGACUCCAGUGAUGAAUGACGAUUAUUGGGAAAGUCAUCAUCCAAAUUCUCCUCUGUUCACUCCUUUGCAAUAAAUUCCUCAGUCCCCCGUGCACACUGAAGUAAUCCACUCGGGUUCUGAUCACGGCCAAGCUUCUCUUCACUCCAUCCCUGAAGAAAUUCCGGCCACUAGUGCUGAUGAGAUUGAAAAAAAGACAGCAGAAGAAACUGCUCCUAAGAUUCCUCAGCCAGAGGUUGUGCUUCAAGCGGCUGUGAAGACUUCAACUAUAAAUCUUCAGCCCAAGCCACAGGAUCCUCACUCCAAGAAGCAGAAGUUCAAGGCUGAUGAUUUCUUUGCUGAACACCAUUUCUUCUCUGAUUUCAAUCCCUAUGACACUGCUCGCCUUUGCCGCAAGCGCUUCUGGACUGCUUCCCGGAUGAACUUCUAUUCAACACUGCUAUUUGGCAAGGACAAAAGUGUUUGACCAUAGGCAAAUUCCACAUGUGGAUAUGGAGUCACUUCCAUGCUUUACUCCAGUCCUCAGUGUUCUUCAUGAUGCAAGGAUGCUCAACUUUUGCACAGACAUAUGCGACUGGAAUGAAGAACUAAUUCUUCCGUUCUAUGCCACUCUGCAUCUGACACGCAACGUUGACAUGUGAAUUCAUGGGUCUUGGACUGGAUAACUGAAAAUACUCAUCACAAACCUCUGGCCUCUGAAUUGCUUCAUGUCGUCCCAGCCAUUUUGCCCACCGAAGGAGCACUGAAGCUAUAUGAGGAACCUGAACUGUCAAAUCAUCUGAUGCAUGUGCUGAUGAAGCCUUUGAAGCCUGGCCAAGCGCCUAGGACUGUCUAUCACAUUAUGGCCAAAACCCUCAGUCCCAUUAAGGGACACAACUCUGAAGAAGAAGAAGUUGUUGGCAUCAUGAAGAACUUGCUUUGCAAUAUCAUGCAUGGUAUUCCAAUCAACUAUCAUGAUUUCUUCAUGAGGACUUUGGCUAAUGCUGCUUUGUCACCCUUUGAGUUGAAGCCUUACGCUCCCUGGAUCAUGAAAUUCCUCAGAUCAAGGACUUCAAUUCAUUACAAGGCUGACUUUCAGAAUCAUCUCAGUUAUUUGCCCCCGAUUGAAGUCCUCAAAUGGACUAUUUCCUUCGUUGAUGAGAAGGGCAAGGCUGCAGUUAUUGAUGAGGGCACACAUCCUUUGGAUGGACAAUUUCGAAAGGCAGCACCCUACUCCACUAAUGAUGACUCUGCCACAAAUGACACUGUUGCAAAUGCUUCAAAGUGAAAUCCUCAGGCAACAGCUCCGCAUGUGAUGACUGAUUGUGAGCUGCUCCUAAGUCUUCAUCAGAAGGUGGACAUAAAUCACAAUUGGGUCAAGCGUCAGUUUGGUGCAAUCCUUCACAAGAUGAGAUUCACUCAAAAUACCGUGAAGAAGAAUCACUAUUAUCUGCAUCAAGUCUUCGAUCGCACCUGGGCUAUUCUCUCAUAUGUCUACACCGAUGAUGAACUCAAGAAGAUGGACUUACAUAGGACUUUGACUGGUCUCAGUCACCUUCGAAUAAAUUCAAGAAGGUCAAAGUUCCUCCGCUGGUCGUCAGCUCCUAUUCUUCAUUGCACGAGAUGGACGAAGCUGAAGAUUUGGCUGACACUGCAGCAGGCCCUACUACAACGGACGACCCCAACAACGCUGGCGCUCCUCCAUCGACAUCAUGAUGAUAUUCUUCAGGGUGUUUGUCCUCACUUUUCGUCCCUUUUGGUCAUUUGAUGACAAAGGGGGAUAAAUUUGAGUUAGUCUUCAAGCGGGUCUAUAUAUGGGCGUUUUUUGCUAAGUUACAACUCUCGCUCUUCUGAAGUAUUUGUCGGAUCGAGUUGUAAACUUAAGUCCUAUGGUGGCCUAAUACUUUUGCUCUAUUUUUCUGCACGCUAUUUCCUCAUAUAUGUGAAUGCACGCAUGGUGAAUUACAUCAGUCACCAUAUUUCAUCAUGCAUUUCAAAUUCUUCAUUCGAUAUGUUUAAUGUGUGUAUGAAUUACAAGAUAUAGGGGGAGAUCUACAUGAUAUUACUCUACAGUGUGCAUUGCUUAUUGAAAGAAAAUUCCUCACAUAUGCACAUAGGGGGAGUUCUUCUAUAUCUUGCAAUCAAAUUUCUCAAUACUGAGCACUUUCAAUUGAUAUGUUUAUCCCUGUUGAAAACUCAACCUAUUUGUCAUCAAUCACCAAAAAGGGGGAGAUUGUAAGUGCAUCUAGUGCCCCUUAGUGAUUUUGGUGUAUUGAAGACUUAUAUGUUAAGGGACUAAUAUGUUUGUGAGUGUACACAGGCUCUAUAAGUCGAUGAGGGGUUUGAUAUUUACGAUGAAAGUCGACCCCUAAAAAUGUAUGUCUUCAGCUGAAGACUUUGGUUCUCCUGAAGAUUUUGAAAGUGAAGAAAUUGGUGUGACCUUGAAGACUUGGAUAUUCAUGCGAGGAUUAUGAAGCGUGAAGACUUUUGUUUUCGUAGUUUCAUUUUCACUUUCUUGAGUCAUAGGAAAGACCGUACUGUUAAAGGAGGUCGAGGCAAAACUAAGGAAACUGAUUUCCAAGUGAUGCUCAUCUCAAAAUCCUACACCUACCCAAUCCUUUCGAGUGAAGCCAUUGGAAAUCUCAUAUCAGUUCAGUCAAUUUCUUCAGUGACAAAGAUGAAGAUCUUCUGGUCUCUAAGGAAUUUGUUCUGAUUGAGGAGUUAGGAAUUCACCAGUGUGGAUUGCCUACACAGUGAUGAACAUGAUAGCCCUGGGGAAUUCGAACCUUAAAUAUCCGACCGUUGCUGUGCUAUGCGCCAGCUAUCCAAAAUAUCUACCAACCUAAUGGUCAUAUCAUUGAAGGGCAUUUAUGUCUUAUCAUGUCGGGCUGUUACCUAGGCUAUAAAUAGCUACCCCCUACAACCACUAGCUAGUUGGCUGCUCCGCGAGAAACUGACACUUGUCAUUGAGAGCAUCCCAUCCUCCGAGGACUUUGAGCGAAAAUCAUCAAGUGAGGAAAACCCAGAACCCAAAACCAAACACCUACAAACCCAAAGUGAUUAAGCAUCAUUGAAGAGAUUGUUCCUGUGUGGAACCGACGGUUGUUACCUUUGAGGACUGUGUAUCCUCCAGACGGUUAGGCGUCAUGGUCUGAGCAUCCAAGAGGAAUUGUGGAUCAGCAAGUGACCUAGUUUGUGAAGGUUUGAAAGUCACCUGAAGACUUACCACGAGCGUUGGGCGAGGUCUGUGUGACUUUAGCUCAAGGAGAAUAUAGUGAGGACAGUGUCCGGGACUGUGUGUCCUUGAGUUUAAAUACUCAGCCGCUCCAACCAGACGUACAACUGUCACAACAGUUGGAAGUGGUCUACCAAAUCAUUGUCUUCACCAAGCCUAUUGGUUCUAUUUCCUCAACCCUUCCAUUUCCUCAUUCAUGUGUUGAUGAACUUGAUCAUUACUGUUUGAAGACUUUGACUGAAGAGUUUCUCUAUUUCCUUAAUCCAAUCUCUUCAGUCACAUAGUCUUCAUCCUGCUUAUCUUGUUUUCACGCUAUCUGUACUUUGUGCUUGUUUUCAUUUCAUCAUGAUGACUAUGUUGCCACUCUGUUAUGCUUAUACCUGAGUACUUAUUCCGCUGCUAGUGUGUCCUUGCUUAGGAAUUUCUUCACCUAGAAAUUCCUCAGUGACGAAUUUGUAAAAAUCGCCUAUUCACCACCCCUAGUGUCGAUAUAAUGCACUUUCAACAAGACUCUCUCUUUGUGUGGUGUGAAUAGUUUUACUUUUUUUCAUUUUUUUCAUUGAGGGAAGUGCAAAUUAAUUUGGUACGUACAAUAUUACACGUUAGGCUUGUCCCUAAAAUUCAACCCGCGCCUAGUUAUAUCAUGAAAAUUCAGAUAUCGUGCUCCCAAAACUCGCGCCUUCACAGCCCGCACCUUGCUAUCCCAAAAUUACAACGUGCGUGAAAACUCCCUCCAACCGCCAAAUCCUGACACGCGAAAUCCCCCUUCUAACCCUGAGCUGAAAGGGCUGCUAGUUCAAAUUGAUGGGGGUACUUUUGUAAUACACCCUACAUUUUGGACAAGCGCGUCCCUAAGUCAUGGUUCCCCCUCCCAUCGCCUCCUUUUCGCCAUUCGAAAUCCCAGGCCACCAUAACCUCUCUACUCCAGCCACGAAACCCGACCCUCCUCCAUUCACCACCUCACUGCUGCCCAGCUGAAGCCUCUUCCCUGACAACAUCGUCCGCCACACAACUCGACGUCCCUCAUCCACCUCCCCGGAUGGGGAUCCGCCAUCCAGCCGGUUCAGCCACCACGUCCUCCACCUUCAAGGAGCUGCUCCGAUGAUCGCCUUGUCUAUCACGGCUGCUCCAUCCCCACAGCUCUGCCUUAACCUGCUCCACCGGAACCGCAACAUCCUCACUGACUCCUCAGACGAAGUCGAGGCCUACUCGGUGCCACCAAAGAGGUUGUACACUCACCGCAUCGCACCUUCUCCUUAACUCGACCUCCCCGCACCGAUGGUGCUCCAUCUCGCACCCCCAUGGCGGGGCUACCUCGAAGCCGGCACCGUGGGCGACAUCUCCAUGGCGGCUCUACCCAGUGCAAGGCCCCUUGGGUGGUGGCGUCCAUACCAGCCGGAUCUGCUGCUACUGCUCCAGCUCUCGCUCGCUCGCUCGCGCUACUGCUGCUCUGGCCCUUGCUCACUCGCUCGCGCUACUGCUGCUGCUCCGGCUCCCGCUCGCUCGCGCUGCUACUCUACUCUCCCCCUCGCUCGUUCUACUGCUAUGCUCUUGCUCUCGUCGCGCUGCUGAUGCUGGUACAUGGGCUGCUGCAGCUACACAAGUUGCUGCUCUGGCUCUAGUUUGCGCUGCUCCUCCAGGCACUGCUGCUCCGGCUGCUAUUUGCUACUGUGUUCCCCGUCGAUCGCCUGCUGAUUUAGAUAAUUGUUCCUCUACUACUAGCGCUCGAGCGGCCUUAAACUACAUGUGAAGUGCCUCUCUGCAACUAGUGCGUUCAGUUUUGACAGUAACAUUUAGAUUCCAUAGUAAAUUUUAAUUUUGACAGUUAAGUCCAGUGUCAACAGUUUUUACCUCAUCUAUUGUAGUCAGGUGUUUUUUGGUGAUGUAAAUUUUACAUCUAUCACUUUUUGGUAAUGUAUUUUACAUCAUCUAUUGGAGAUGCUAUUAGUAUCCCACUUGAGAUUAAGGAUGUCUGUCUUGUACUGCUUCAGCCUCGACGUCUUACGGCUCGCCGCAGCUGCUCCAACAACGGAACCAUCCAUCACAACAGAGUAGUGCCCUGGACGCUGUCUACAGAUUCCUUAGAUCUUCCUCCACACCUUCGAUAGCCACCUCUGCCUCAACUUCUUCGGCGACCAACCCAAUGAUGUCGAGGUCGACACGGCUACGACAAAGAGGUCAUGCACUUGUCGCAUCACUUAUUACUCUACCUUCAUGUCCAUCCAUUAGGGCUAUUUUGGUUCAAAGGAAAAACUGAAGGAAAAAACAUAGCAAUAGAAAUUUUUCCUGUGGCACUCUAAUAUUCAAUUAUUCAUGCAUUUUUUGAAAGAAAUGGAGCAAAACAUCCAUCUGGACCUAAUUUUCAAAAUCCUAUGCAUGAAAACAAGAACUCUGCCUAUGUUGUCUCAACAUAGCCGGUCCCAAGCCCGGGUAAAGGAGGAGGGUUGUGAUAGGCUUGGCGAGCCAACGUAAAAACUCAGCCACUCUUAUGGAGAUGAAACCCAAAAGAUUUUCGUUGGGGCGUAACCCUCUCAGGGACGCGCCACAUCGGAACCCGGGUGUGGUGGAAAAUGGGCAAGGGCCGGGCCGUCACCCCCCAAGUGGCGCACCGUAUCUUGAUCCGGAUACGGUGGCAAGUGAGCGAGGAUCGGGUCGUCGCAUCCUUAGUGGCGCGCUACAUCGGCGCCCGGAUGUAGUGGAAAAUGAGCAAGGGUCUUCGCAUUUGACUCGACGAGUGCGAAGGGUAAGGAAGCUAGCCGAGCCUAGGAGGAUUCGCUUAGGUAGCUGGAACGUAGGGUCUCUAACAGGGAAGCUUCGGGAGCUAGUUGAUGCAGCAGUGAGGAGAGGUGUUGAUAUCCUUUGCGUCCAAGAAACCAAAUGGAGAGGACAGAAGGCGAAGGAGGUGGAGGAUACCGGCUUCAAGCUGUGGUACACGGGGAAUGGCGUAGGCAUCUUGAUCAACAAGAGCCUCAAGUAUGGAGUGGUAGACAUCAGGAGACGUGGGGACCGGAUUAUCCUGGUCAAGCUAGUAGCUGAGGACUUGGUUCUCAAUGUUAUCAGCGCAUAUGCCCCGCAAGUAGGCCACAAUGAGAACACCAAGAGGGAGUUCUGGGAAGGCUUGGAAGACAUGGUUAGGAGUGUACCGAUUGGUGAGAAGCUCUUCAUAGGAGGAGACCUCAAUGGCCACGUGGGUACAUCUAACACAGGUUUUGAAGGGGCGCAUGUGGGCUUUGGCUAUGGCAUCAGGAAUCAAGAAGGAGAAGAUGUCUUAAGCUUUGCUCUAGCCUACAACAUGAUUGUAUCUAACACCCUCUUUAGAAAGAGAGAAUCACAUCUGGUGACUUUUAGUAGUGGCCAACACUCUAGCCAGAUUGAUUUCAUCCUCUCGAGAAGAGAAGAUAGGCGUGCGUGCCUAGACUGUAAGGUGAUAUCUGGGGAGAGUGUUGUACCCCAGCAUAAGCUGGUGGUUGCUGACUUCCGCUUUCAGAUCGUGUCCAGCGGGAUAAGCGUGCCAAGGUUGCUAGAACGAAGUGGUGGAAGCUCAAGGGGGAGGUAGCUCAGGUGUUCAAGGAGAGGGUAUUUAAGGAGGGCCCUUGGGAGGAAGGAGGGGAUGCGGACAAUGUGUGGAUGAAUAUGGCGACUUGCAUUCGUAAGGUGGCCUUAGAGGAGUUUGGAGUGUCCAGGGGAAGGAGAAGCGAAGAUAAGGAUACCUGGUGGUGGAAUGAUGAUGUCCAGAAGGCGCUUAAAGAGAAGAAAGAUUGCUUCAGACGCCUAUACCUGGAUAGGAGUGCAGACAACAUAGAGAAGUACAAGAUGGCGAAGAAGGCCGCAAAGCGAGUUGUUGGUGAAGCAAGGGGUCGGGCAUAUGAGGACCUCUACCAACGGUUAGGCACGAAGGAAGGUGAAAGGGACAUCUAUAAGAUGGCUAAGAUCCGGGAGAGGAAGAAGAGGGAUAUUGGCCAAGUCAAAUGCAUCAAGGACGGAGCAGGCCAACUCUUGGUGAAGGACGAAGAGAUUAAGCAUAGAUGGCGGGAGUACUUCGACAAGCUGUUCAAUGGGGAGAAUGAGAGUUCUACCAUUGAACUGAAUGACUCCUUUGAUGAGACCAGCAUGCGUUUUGUGCGGCGCAUCCAGGAGUCUGAGGUGAAGGAGGCUUUAAAAAGGAUGAAAGGAGGCAAGGCGAUGGGCCCUGAUUGUAUCUCCAUUGAGGUGUGGAAAGGUCUCGGGGACAUAGCGAUAGUAUGGCUAACCAAGCUUUUCAACCUCAUUUUUCGGGCAAACAAGAUGCCAGAAGAAUGGAGACGGAGUAUAUUAGUACCAACCUUCAAGAACAAGGGGGAUGUUCAGAGUUGUACUAAUUACCGUGGAAUUAAGCUGAUGAGCCAUACAAUGAAGCUAUGGGAGAGAGUCAUUGAGCACCGCUUAAGAAGAAUGACAAGCGUGACCAAAAAUCAGUUUGGUUUCAUGCCUGGGAGGUCGACCAUGGAAGCCAUUUUCUUGGUACGACAACUUAUGGAGAGAUAUAGGGAGCAUAAGAAGGACUUGCAUAUGGUGUUCAUUGACUUGGAGAAGGCCUAUGAUAAGAUACCGCGGAAUGUCAUGUGGUGGGACUUGGAGAAACACAAAGUCCCAGCAAAGUACAUUACCCUCAUCAAGGACAUGUACAAUAAUGUUGUGACAAGUGUUCGAACAAGUGAUGUCGACACCGAUGACUUCCCGAUUAAGAUAGGACUGCAUCAGGGGUCAGCUUUGAGCCCUUAUCUUUUUGCAUUGGUGAUGGAUGAGGUCACAAGGGGUAUACAAGGAGAUAUCCCAUGGUGUAUGCUCUUUGCGGAUGAUGUGGUGCUAGUUGAUGAUAGUCGGACGGGGGUAAGUAGGAAGUUAGAGUUAUGGAGACAAACUUUGGAAUCGAAAGGGUUUAGGCUUAGUAGAACUAAAACCGAGUACAUGAUGUGCGGUUUCAGUACUACUAGCUGUGAGGAGGAGGAGGUUAGCCUUGAUGGCCAGGUGGUACCUCGGAAGGACACAUUUCGGUAUUUGGGGGCAAUGUUGCAGGAGAAUGGGGGUAUUGAUGAAGAUGUGAACCAUCGAAUCAAAGCCGGAUGGAUGAAGUGGAGCCAAGCUUCUGGCAUUCUCUGUGACAAGAGAGUGCCACAAAAGCUAAAAGGCAAGUUCUACAGGACGGCGGUUCGACCCGCAAUGUUGUAUGGCGCGGAGUGUUGGCCGACUAAAAGGCGACAUGUUCAACAGUUUGGUGUGGCAGAGAUGCGUAUGUUGAGAUGGAUGUGUGGCCACACGAGGAAGGAUCGAGUCCGGAAUGAUGAUAUACGAGAUAGAGUUGGGGAAGCACCAAUUGAGGAGAAGCUUGUCCAACAUCGUUUGAGAUGGUUUGGGCAUAUUCAGCGCAGGCCUCUAGAAGCUCCAGUGCCUAGCAGACGGCUAAAGCGUGCGGAGAAUGUCAAGAGAGGGCGGGGUCGACCGAUUUUGACAUGGGAGGAGUCCGUUAAGAGAGACCUGAAGGAUUGGAGUAUCGACAAAGAGCUAGCUAUGGACAGGGGUGCGUGGAAGCUUGCUAUCCAUGUGCCAGAGCCAUGAGUUGGUUGCGAGAUCUUAUGGGUUUCACCUCUAGCCUACCCCAACUUGUUUGGGACUAAAGGCUUUAUUGUUGUUGUUCUAUGCAUGAAAACAAGACCAAGUGCAUUAGUGGCAGAAUAACAUUCUAACUGUACACGCUUUCAUACGGUUUCAGUUUAAUUUGGCCAUGUUUCUAUGCAUUCCUCUGCUCUUCCAAUUCCUGUGAACCAAACACCCAAGUUGACAAAAAUCAUGUGUUUACAAAUGCUCUAUUACCCACGUGCAUUCCUAUCCUAUUCCGGUGUUUUUCCAAUCCCUGCAUUUUUAGAAUCCUGCAAGCCAAAGGAGCCCUAACAAAAUUACUUCAGUUACAAGUAGGUGUCGAAGAAAACUUUGUGUGGUUUGGCCUGCUCCUACCGCGAUGUCGUCCACCUCACCUGAGCUGCUCCAUCGACAGAAGCAUCCAGCAAACCAGACAUCAUGACUCCUGACCGUCUUUCGCCGCCUCAGAUCUCCUUCGCUGCCGCCGACUCCCACCACAACGGCAUCACCAUCAUUGACUCAGCAGAUGAACCUGAGGAGUACACGGGUCCACAAGAGAGGUCACACUGUUUUGUUUCUGCUUAUAUUAUGCAUUGCUUAAUAUUACCUGCUACUUUAUCAUCAUGUUCACCUCUUAGACUCCAAGUCAGGUCCAAAUUAAUAUUCAAACUUGAGUUUUAAAAUUAGUUGUGGGGUACAUAUCAGGGCAGCAAUGAAUAGUAUCUCUAUCUAUUAUCUGGCACAUAUCAAGUUAGCAAUGAAUAGUAUAUUGGCAUAUGUUGUUCAUCUUGGAUGGGAAAGAAAUAGUAAAGCAAUCAUCAUCUGUCUUUUUAUUAAAUUAAAGCUAUCAUCAGCCUGCUAUCAUUAUUUUUGGAUCCAUCCACUGGUUGUUACCAUCACUCUAGAUUUCUGCAUGCUCUCCUUACAUAAUCUCAUUAUAUUUUUUGUAUGCAUGUCAGAUAUUUUACACAGUUGUGCUGAACAUGUAGAGAAAAAGAGAAGAGUUUUGCGUGGCAAUACGAUGUCAUGCAAACAUCGCUCCAUGGUGGGUUCAAUGGCAAACCCUCCCCCCUCCCCAGAUUGUAAUCCAAAGGAAUAUAUCUAUUCUGAGGCAGAUUCAGACGUUGACCACUCCUAUUUAACCCCAAGGUGUUUGCUCUAACUUGGCAUGAUGAUGUGAGUCAUAUCAUGCAUACGUUGCCUUGCAGUGCCUACUUUCGACAUCAUGUAUGUCAUCUUCUUAGUUUAGAGAUGUUCUGUAAUGCCGCCUAUUUAGUUUCUAUAUCAUAUAUGGAAAUUAUGCAGUCUCAUCUCUUUUAUCCAGCCAUAAUAUAUGUGAAAAAUGCAAUGCCAUCAUGUUUAACCAAGCAUCAUAUAUUUGAAUGAUAUCUUGCCCAUCCUUUUCUUCAUUACAUUUCCAUUUUUCGACAAUAUUUGUACAUUAAACUACUCUUCCUGUGAAUCAGCCAUUUGAGUGAGUGAUGGGAAAAUCUGGAGUGCAAAGAAGGUCUUUAGAGCAGACAGUGCUACCCGUCGAAGCAGAUCUCUUGCUGGGUCCCGAUAGCUCCUCAGAGAUGGAUUCACAGAGAGAUGCCCAGUCCUUUUCUUUAUAUUAAUCUCCAUUAUCUUCCUCUGCCAACAAACUCUUUCUUUACAACUAACCCCUGUGUUCUGUCACUAUUUGCUGAGAGAAGUUCCUGUGUACCCGUGUGCUUGAUGAGUAUGAGAUCAUACUCAUUCUUGCUAUUGUUGUUGAUUUUGUAGAAGUAGCAAAUGAUGGAUGUGCUGAUGAGAAUGAUGAACAGUAGGAGUAGCUCUACGGGUUGGGAAUAAAUAAAGAAGUUGCUUGUAUCAUAACCUUUGUAAUAGCUAGUAAUGAAUAAAGUUGGCUCUUGUGCAUACUGGAAAAUAAUUUGUUUACUAGCCUAACAUGCUUAUAAAUUCGAGAUUUAUAAGCAUGUGGCGAUUGUCACGGCUAAGACUCACGCACUUUAACUGUCACGCCCCGAGACCGGGCCUAGGCGAGACAGCCGCCGCGCACCUAUAGACCAGAGGCCUAUAGUCACGCAAGGCAUGAUAAAGCAGGCAUAAACCAGAAGUGGAUCACAAAAGCUAAUAUAUUUACUAUACAAAUUCCUUGACAUCUACAAAUAGUUGAGUAAAGACAUCAUAUUCUCUAGUCGCUUCCCACCCGCUGGUUAAGCCUAGUCUUGGAUGAAGACAUCUUCUGAACAUACAUAAGUUGAACAUACUUAAGUUACCUCGUUCGCAUCUAAAAAAACAGAGGAAGCAAGGGUGAGUAUGACAAAUCAUACUCAGCAAGCAGAUACUUCACUAUUCAACAAGGAGCGAUGCUAUGAUGGUGUAGAUCAACAGACGAAAUGAACAAGGAAAUUAUUGGCAUCACACAUGACCGCAAGCUUCCCAACCCGGGAGUCACAGGGGUGAAAUUUCACACUUUUACGCUCUUAAGAGGGGUACUCCGACGUCGACAGUCUCGACUAGAACCACACAGGUUCCAGAAGAGCAGAGCUCUUUUACCCACUAAGACCCGGACACCUGGACCUACUGAUGUCGGUCGCUCCUGCGGAUCCAUCACCGACACGUUCCCGAACGAGGUCUGUCCUUAGCAGAGAACCCAGACAGUCCCAUACCUGAACUGUGACCAGUACAAUACGUUUGCCGUCGUGACACCAAUAUAGAUGGAUGUGUGUUUGAAUCAACAUUAGGACCACUGAAGUAUCGGUCAAAGACAAUACACUCAUGGCUUUUCAUGAGUUCCUCCAAAAUACUCUGGUUCCAUCAACAAAUGGAUUAUGAGGAAAACACAUCCCUCUUUCAAGGAUCAACAGAGGAUCAACAAAGAUCAAGGUGCAAUGAUAUUACCAGAUAAUCAAGCAAGACAACAACAAAGAGGGAUCAGGGAGUUUAGCAAAGCAGCUACUUGCCUCAGAUAAUAUGAUUUCUCCUUUAGAAUAAUAUUUUGCAAGAAGAUGAAACUCCAUCAUCUUUGUAUAAAAUCUGACGAACACACAUAUACUCAUAUUUCUUCUGAUGUAUGGCUCGGCUCUUCCCUCCAGCAGCACCUAAACGCUCUAUUCUUCUUCAAAUGUGGAUGCAUGCAUGAAUUCUUCAUCUCUCUUCUUUAUCUUUCUGGUGUCUUUCUUUCUCUCAGGCUCUCUCCUCCAGUGUCUAUGUCUUUCUCUCAGAGCUGUGCUUUGAGCAGCGUGACCCACAACUAUUUAUAGGAGGCGAGCGCCCGUGCAAGUCUAAAAUAU
rnacentral:lncRNA from 1 species